rnacentral:lncRNA from 1 species
GGCAAGCAGUUCAUCUCCCGGCGUCCCUGGCACCGCCCCAUACCUCACGGCUCGCCUCUCCCGCUCCGAGUUCGCCUACACGUUCCGUGUCACCGCAGGGCCCAAAUUCGUUCGCCUGCACUUCGUCCCUUCUGAUUACCCCAACUUCCGUCGUGCUGAUUCCUUCUUCUCAGUCGAGGCCGCUGGCUACACCCUGCUCCGCAACUUCAGCGCUUCCCUCUUUGCUGAUUACACCCGCUCCGCGAGCUUCUUCUCUAAAGAGUUCUGCUUAAGUGUCGGAGAGGACCAGAUAUUGAACAUAACGUUCACUCCCACUCCUGGUAAUUCAGACGCGUAUGCUUUCGUGAAUGGAAUCGAAGUCGUUUCCAUGCCCGAAAGUCUCUACUACAACACCGUCGUCGACUCAACCGAGGGAAUCAAGUUGGCAGGUCAGCUGGGGCUAUACACCUUGGAUACCACUUCAGUUCUCGAAGCGGUGAAGCGCUUGAACGUGGGAGGACAGUUUGUCGAUCCAGUUCAUGACACGGGAAUGUACAGGACCUGGGAAGCAGAUGACGAGUACGUGACUUCCUCGUACAUCGGAGGUUUGCCAGUUAACACAACUAUCCAACUCAAUUACGGUAAGCAAGUUUCAGAUUACACAGCUCCAGAUCCCGUAUACACUACUGCAAGGACCAUGGGAACGGACAAAAGAAUCAAUCUGAGCUACAACCUCACGUGGUCCGUCGAGGUGGAGACGAACUUCUAUUACUUGGUCCGGUUACACUUUUGCGAAUGCCAGAAAGAGAUAAAGGAGCACUUAGACAGGGCUUUCAAGAUUUUUCUAGAUUCACAAUUGGUCGAGGGCCAUGCGGAUGUCAUUAGUUGGAGCGGGAAGGGCGUGCCCGUCUAUAGAGAUUUUGCAGUAGCCCUCCUGGAUCACAGCCAAAAGAAAAGAACCAACCUCUCCGUCGCGUUGGGCGCACUUCCAGAUGGUUGUACUCUUUACUCUGAUGCCAUCUUGAAUGGCCUCGAGAUUUUCAAGAUCAGCGAUCCAGACGGGAAUCUCGUAGGGCUGAACCCGGAUCCAAUUCCACGGGCAAGCAAAGCAUCGUCGAGCCUCAGCAAAGCAGCAAAAAUUGCCAUCGUUGCUGGUGGAACUUCGGGCUUCACCGUGCUCUCUCUCCUGGCUUUCUUUCUUUACCGGCGAAAAAACAGAGAGAAGGAUUCGACCUCAAGCGACGGCACCUCAUGGUGGGGCCCGGUCUCCCGCUCGGCGACCAAGUCAAUGAAGACCCAGGGGUCGUCCCUGCCGUUGGAUCUGUGCCGCUACUUCUCGCUGGCGGAGAUCAGAGCGACCACGAACAACUUCGACAAGGUGUUUAUUAUCGGCGUGGGCGGGUUCGGCAACGUGUACAAGGGCUACGUCGAUGGCGGGGCCACUCCAGUGGCGAUCAAGCGGCUGAACCAGGGAUCGCAGCAGGGCCUCCAUGAGUUCAGGACCGAGAUCGAGAUGCUCUCGCAGCUCCGGCACCUCCACCUGGUCUCCCUGAUUGGGUUCUGCGAGGACGCGGGAGAGAUGAUCCUCGUGUACGACUACAUGGCACGCGGGACCCUCAGCGACCAUCUCUACAACACCGAUAAUCCCCCACUCCCCUGGAAGCAGCGGCUCGAGAUCUGCAUAGGCGCCGCGUGGGGGCUCCACUACCUCCACAGCGGUGCCAAGCACACCAUCAUACAUCGUGACGUGAAGACGACCAACAUCCUGCUCAACGAGAAGUGGGUUGCCAAGGUGUCCGACUUUGGGCUCUCGAAGGUCGGACCCACGAGCGAGUCUAAGACGCACGUCAGCACGGCCGUGAAGGGCACCUUCGGGUACCUGGACCCGGAGUACUACAGGCACCAGCGGCUGACUGACAAGUCCGACGUCUAUUCCUUUGGCGUGGUGCUGUUCGAGGUGCUGUGCGCAAGGCCUGCCGUGAACCGGAUGGCCCCAAUGGAGCAGAUCAGCCUGGCUGAGUGGGCGCAGAGUUGCUGCAAGAGCGGGGCCGUCGAGGAGAUCGUGGACCCGCACCUGAAGGGGUCUAUCACCCCCGAGUGCCUCAACAAGUUCUGCGAGAUCGCCAUGAGCUGCUUGCAGGACAAGGGGGCCAAACGGUCAUCCAUGAACGACGUUGUGUGGGGCCUCAAUUUCGCACUGCAGCUACAGGUGAGCACAGAGCUGGAAGCGACGGAUCAUGUGGGUGUGUCAGUGCAUGAUAGCGAUGACAGCGACCAUGACGCAGCUUCGAUCAGAGGCAGCGGCAGCGAUGAGGAGAUCAACACUAGUGAUAGCGAUAGUGGUCGUUGGAAGAGCAGUAGGGAAACUGCGACGUCGACCAGAGCUGGAAGCAAUGAUGUUUGUGAUGAGACUAUGACUAGUUAUGACUAAGAGAAGUUGCCUUGAGAAAAUAUUAGGUGCUCAAGUGUGACGCUCAAAAUUACGUGUUUCUUAUUUUAUUACUCUCUUUUAACAUACGAAAGCGUAAUUAAACAUUUACUAUUAUUCUUUUAACAAUUAAAGGCCUUACAAGUAUAAUCAACAUAUUGAUGCAUCUUUUAUUUAUACCACAUUUGAGUUCAUAAUCUUAUUAUAUUACGAGCAAAAAACAAAAAUCUGGAUAGAGGUGGGGAGACCUAUCUUCGUACUAUACUAUACUUCCAAAAGUCUGCCUAUAUAAAUGUAGUCACGAGUCGAUAACUUCUCCGUUUGUUGUGUCUUCAUCAUCAAGUCACGCCCCAAACCCCGAGCGCGUGCCCAUCCCUAUUUGGUCGAUAAGAAUUUACGACUUCCCAGGACAAGUUGCCGACCCUUUCCAUUUUAUUGCACAUGCGGAAGUGAAAAGAAAUUCCCUGACAAUAAUCAUCUCGGGAUAGAAAAUCACGAUAAUAGAUUCACAAACAAACAAGCUUUUAUAUAUACAUUGAGUCAUGUACAAAGGUCUAUGGCCAAAAGACUACAAAAGACUGGCCUUCCAAAAAGAAGUGGUCCCAACUGACCUACGCUUCCAAUCACCUUCUCUCAACUCUAGCUCUUCCACUCGAUGACCCUGAAAAUGUUGUCCCACAACGGGGUGAGAUAUCAUCUCAACGAGUCUAAGCGCUAAACUCCAAUUAGGAAGGAAAUAUGCCCAUAAGUGUCCUAAUCACACAAUCACACAAUCAAUGAGACUUACCUCAUCUUAGAUCCACCCUGCAGGUCAGUACAAUUUAUAUCACAGACAACAUGAGAGCAUGAGCAACAAUAAGCUUCAAUAACUGAAAUGCCACACUCAAUUAAUCAUGCGUUCCUAGUUUAGAUCUCGGCAUAUAGCACGGCCUACUCUCAGUUCGGCGGUCUUCUGGCAUUGCUAGGCUUCGUCUCACCCCAUUGGGCACGGCACGUCUCUUUAUCAAACGGCUUUCCAAAGGAGCAUAGGGUACAGAAUCAACUGCGACCGGCUUCCCGUUGUCCAUGGGGUAUCCCAAAUAAGGAUAACGUCCAGCUCAAUAGCUCGGGACGAUUUCUCUUAACCAACACACAAUCACUCAAAUAUGGCCUAGGGCACCGUGCAUUGCACUCAAAUGCUUCAAUUAAAAUGGUAAGCCUGGCCUUUUUUUUUUUUUUCAUAUUAGAAAUUCACACGGAAUUACUCAUGUGUGGGUACACGGUCAAUUUGACCUCGAAAAAUUGAUAUUCUUCCUUUUUGAAAUUUCACUAUUUCAAAUAGUACAAAAAACUAUUUUCGGUGCCAAAACCUAACACCCGAGAUUUUCUAAAUAAAUAUUAGAAAUUCACAAUUCCAACAAUCUAAUCAGCACUCAAUUUGCAUAAUUUAACACUCAAUUGCAGAAAUUAACCACACCAUUGCAAUUAGCAUGAAAUUCCGGUCACCAGUUAUCUUGACCUAAUUUCCGGAAAAAUAAUUAAUAAUUAAAUAAUUACUGAAAUUAAUUAAAUAAAUCAAUUUAAAUUCUAAAAAUACUAACCUAGGCCAAAAUCAUUAAAUUAAUAACCAAUACGGACUCGGAGAAAUUCCCGAACCCUUCUAGGUAAAUAGUACAAUCUAUUUAGGCCUUAGCUAAACUAUGCUAACCACCUAACAUGCUCAAUUACAUAAUUACAUUUCUAAUUUAAUAUGACUAACCACCUAAUUCCUAAUAAAAUAAAUCUAAACACCCCUUAAACGUCAUUAACCUACUAAGCAGAGUUUAGAGUAUAAACUCACUGGUGUAUCGCGAAAACCGGUUCACUGCAACAAUGACGCAAUGGCGGACGAAAUCUUAAUUUUCAACGGUGUCGGCGAACUUGGACCGGGCCUAAAACAAGCCCAACACAACUCAGCAAGGCUGAGUUUCGAUCUUGGGCUUCUGCAGGGCUGCUGGUUGCGGGCUUGGGCCUUCUUCGCGGGCCCAAAAUGGACUGAACUUCAAAUGGGCUAAAACCAACUGAAUUUGGGCUUGAGCUUGGGCUUCAAAAUUUGCUGGAGAUGGGCUUAAAAUCACUAGGCUGAAGAAUUCGAUGGAUCCAUGGGAUUCAAAGGCUGGACUGAAAUGUCUCUGCAGAUGGGCUGAAUUGAGCGGGCUUCUAAAAACUUGCGUGGGCUAAAUCCAAGGAGCAACAAAGAAAGAGAAGCAGCAGCUUUGACGGGCUGGGCUUCUUCGGCUGAGUGGCCGAGUGGAUUGCUGGGCUGAGACGCACGCGCAAGAGGAGAAACGGACGAAGCAGCUGCUGGCGGUUGACUGGGAAGGUCGCUCGUGGAUUGAAAAUUGUUGGGCCGAAUCUCAGCCAAAUGAUGGACAAAUUUGCGGGCGAAGGAGAGGAGCUUGGUGGUGGACGCCUGGCAGCUGUUGUUGGAUGAAGACAUGGUGUGAAAGGCACGAGCUUCUUCGGUCGAGAGCUAGACGAACGGAUUGCUCGCUUCGUAGGCAAGCUGGUGGAGGCGGCGUGCGGAUCGUGGGUGGACGACAAAGCAACGCCAAAGAAGGGAAAUGAUGGGGUCAACAAAAAGGAAUCUUGAGGGAUGAGGGUUGACCGAACAAGCAGCACAUGGUGGACCUGUGUGGCAGCUUAAGGGUGGGGGAAAUUGGAGAUGGGAUGAACGAAGUAAAGGAGAAGAAAAAUGAGUAGCUGAUGGCCUGUGUUGAUCCGUGAGGGAGCGAGAGAGAGAGAGAGAGAGAAAAGAAGUGGCGUGCGGUCUUCAGCUGGGACAAGAGACACACGAAGAUGGAGGUGGAGGCGGUGGUCUUGGCGUGCGGGAGAAGCAGCCGGUGGAGGGUCCCAAAGUAAAGCAACUCAAUCCAUUACAUUAAGGCCCUGUUUGGUAACCAUCCAAACAUGGCCAAAUUCUGAUUCUUUGUUCCCGGAAUCAGUUUCGGCCUAGAAUCGCGUUUGGUAAAAUUUUUGUUCCCGGGAACAGAUUGGGAAUAGAAUCAAGAACAAAAAAAAAGUUGAUUCUUGUUCCGGGAACGAAUUUGAGAAUCAAAAUCAAGAAAUUUUUUUCUUCCCUUCGGCCAUCUCGCGACUGCCGUCCACCACCGCCCGCCACUGUCUGCCGUCCACCGCCACUGCCGCCGGCCACCGGAGGCAAGCCUAGCCACUGGCGAGGCUCAGCCUCCCCAGAUCUGGCGAGGCCGAGCCUCGCCGGUGGCCAGGCGGGCCUCGCCGGGGCUGGGCAGGGGCUGGGCAUGCCUCGUGACGCCUAGCCCCAUCGGUGACCAGGCGAGGCUCGCCCAACCCCGCCGGUGGCCUGGUAGGCCUCGCCCAACCCCGACGAGGCUAGCCUGGCUGGCCUGGCCACCGGCGGGGCUAGGCGAGCCUCGCCCAGCUGCCGAUAAGGCUCGGCCGCUGAGGGCCGGUGACACUCCGGUGAGGUUGCCCGGCGACCAGCUAGAAGAAGAAGAAGAUGAUGAGAAAAAGAAAAGAAAAAAGAAAAAAAAAGGAAAAAAAGGAAAAAGAAAAGAAAAAAAAUGAAAAAAUGAAAAAAAAACAAAAGAAAAAAAGGAAAACAAGUAAAAAAUUAUUUAAAAAUUAAAAGAAAUUGAUUUGGAACAGAAUUAAUGAACACGAUACUAAACGCAAUUCUAUUCUAGAAUUAGAAAUUUUGGACAGUUACCAAACGGCUUAAAAUGCUUAUAAUCAGUUCCCAGGAACAGAAUAAAAAAGAAUCAGUUCUAAUCAGAAUCUACUCCCGAGAACAGAAUUGUUACCAAACGCGCCGUAAUUGCAUGUCCCCUAUUUCUUUCCACUUGAUAAUUUCAUGAAUUAACAAAUUGUAAAGCCAAAAUUGCUGCCCCUUUGUAAAGUUCCGAAUUUCACUUAAAUUUUCUUGAAUUUCUUCAUCGAUUCUCCAAAUCGAGGUCUAAUUUCAUCGAAGAAAAAGCCCGUACAAAUUUAUGCAAGUCCUCAACACUCAAAGGCUCGGCUUGGAAGUUCCAAUUUCCAUCAAAUGAGUCCAUCCGAAUUUCCGUUAAUUUUCCGCGACGUCUGAAUCAAAUUUCCGUAAAAAUCUCAGAAUCUUUGAAAAUUUCUCGGUGGGUGAGUCGAUGUUCCUCAAAUAGCUCGUAACACCACAGAACUUUCAAUUUUUAAAAUCGGGUUCAAAUUCACGGUUAUUUUCAAUCCAGCGCGCUUUUAGCGUGACCUAGUCUAUCGGGUAGGUUUUAGGAAUUUUUAGUGCAAUUGACCCGUGAUCGAUUUACCUCAAGUCACAAUGUACAUCUUCGACACAUUGAUGAAUCUCGAUUAUCGUGAAAAUCUCAAGGUUUCAAAUACGGACAUAGGGUACUCAAAACGAUAGAAAAUCAAUUUAGUGCCGAUCGAUAAGAAUUUUGCAAUCAGGUGGAAUCACCCACAUUUUGAUCACUUAUCUCAGUCGAAUCAACUUAUCUCUGAUCUCUGAUUGAUUUUUAAGUGUGUUGUAAUGACUCUUGCAAAUUAACAUGGUCAAGCAAUCGAUUCCUGGUCGAAUUCUCAAGUCUUUUGCGUUAAAAUCCCUUAAUAAUUUUCCCAGAUAGCCUAGUUAUCUCUUGAGUAAUCGGCUCAGAGAAUAGCACUAUAGACGCGUCGAUGAAAGACUCGAUUUAUUCAAUUGAAAUUAGAUUUGAAAAAUCAGGAUGUCACAUCCUGGUACUAGGAAAUGAACUGAAAAUGAACUCACUCUAGGAAACCUCUUACAUCCACCCACAUAAUAGAACUACACUUGAUAUAUAUUAUUCCAUAUUCUGAUUCAAACAUAUUUCAUAAAGACCUUCAUAAUUCAUAGAGACUUUAUAGCAUAAAGGUUGAAAUGUGUUCAUUCUACAUGUUUGAAAAAUAAAAGGAAUGAGCCAAAACAUAGUAAAUGAAAUUUCUAGUUUUAAGUCAAAAGAAUUCUCUUACCACUUCAUCUGAUGUAUACAAAGUGAAUGCAUCAUCAUCGGAUAAGUGUGAUAAAAAUAUAAGUAAACUUUACCUUUUCCAUUUUCAUUUACCAAAUAAAUUGUUAACCAAUAAUACAUCCAUUCAGACUUAGGGUUUCUCUUUUUUUUUUUUUUUGGUAUGGCCUCUCUCGCACGUCACUCUCUUUUACUUUUUCCUUUGUGUUCUUUUUUUUACCCAAAAGAAAGAACCCCCCAUUCUUUUUGCACGCAACAUCUUUUAUGAGCCCAAAAAUUGUAUCUUCGCGAUAUAUAUAUUUUUUCCUUUUUAUUUGUGCACGAUCCCCCUAGAUAUAUCAUUGAAAUAUACACAUUUCGCGCAAUAUUCUCUUUUUGUAUUUUUUCAAAUAUUUCAUUCGAAAAUUUCCUUUUCGCCUAAAAUAUAUCCCCCAAUAUAUAUUACCUGAAAAUAUGAAAAAUCUGAACGGAAUAUGUGAAAAAUCUUUCCCUUACCAGUGAUCUAAAAAAAAAAGAAACAAAAAAAAUAACAUAAUAUUCCUAAACCAUAUGCCAUGUGAUUUUUAUUUUAUUUUUUAUUUUGGUAACAAAUUAACCCAAAAAUUAUGCAAAAAUUUAUGUGUCAACAACACUCUUUGAGACAUCCCAACUGGACAUCCCGCAAACUACCAUCAUGGGGCAUCGUCACGCACCACUAUAUGAGUGACAUAAUCACAUUAAUAUUAUUUAAAGCCAUAUAUACACACACACACACACACACACACACACACACACACACACACACACACAUAUAUACUUACAAGCAUAUCACACAUAUCUCAACUCAAUUUAAUACAUUAAAAAAAUAAUCGUAUAUGAAAUAACAUAUAGUCAUACUCUGGUCAUUAAAGUUUGGAGAUCCAAAUGAGUACAUUUUGAAUUUGGACAUUAGUGGGAUCCGAACGAAUAAAUAUAUUUUGGACAUAAAAUUUGAACAUGUAAAUGGGUACAUUUUAAGUUAGAAUAACAAGUAUAUUCUAGUCAUAAAGUCUGAAUAAUCAAAAAGGUAAAUUCUGGCUUAAUAGAAGCUUCUAGAAUAAAAGAACAAAUUCAAUAAUGAACGGAUUUACAAGUGAAUAGAAUCAACAAAUAAAUAGAUUCAACAAAGAAUAGAUUUAUAUUUAGUAAAGUUUGUUUGAAUCAAUGGAUAGAUUUAUUAACAAACAAAUUCACAUGUUGGUAGAUUCAGCAAGAAAUAGAUUCAUACUCAGUAAAGUCUAUCUAAACCAAUAAACAAAUUUAUCAACGAACAUAUUCACAAGUUGGCAAAUUUCACAAGGAAUAGAUUCAUACUCAUUUAAAGUUUGUUUGAACUAAUAAACAUAUUUAUGAAUGAACAUAUUCAUCAGUUGGCAGAUUCAACAAGUGAACAUAUUCACAAAUGAACAGAUUUAACCAAAUGAAUAGAUUCACAAAAGGCAGAUUUACAAAUGGAUAGAAUAGGAACUUCUAGUAGAAACAAGUAGGAUGAAUAGAUUCUUACUAGUAAAAUUCUAGCAGAACAAAAUAGAGCUGUCACAACCUAAAUUUCGGGUGGGUUUGGCUAAUGGACUACUAAGUAUAACUUAGUUUGGGCUCUUCCAAACCCAUACUAAUUCGCGACUUAGGUUCAAAUUCUUAAUAUGCAAAUGAUAUUUCAGUUAAGAGUCGCCACUAAUCUAUUUUUGGUGGGCCGAUUAGAAACCUAAGCAAAGUAACGGGAUAUUUACUUUACUCCUACGAAUAAGAGAUUUAUGAGUUCGGGGAUUCGUUAUGCUAGCUUUCUCUAACGCCCUUUCGGUACAUUUCUCUUUUAUUUCGAAAAAUGCUUGGCAAGCAAUUUCCCUAACAUGUGAGGCGGUCAUGCGGGUGCGUAAACCACCGAUUUAACAUCCAAGAAAGCAAUGAAUAAAUUGCAGGACUUACCUCAUAGCAACGAAAGCUUCUGCGUUGUUAGAUCAGAAUUCACAUCAACAACCCUAGAUUUUCUAGUUAACACGCAAAUUCUUCUUUUUUUUUACUUAAUUAAUGAGAAUCAUGCUUUAUGCAAUGCAUGCCACUAAUUUAACAUGAAAUGAUAUGACAUGGCAACAUGAUUUAGCUAUAUGACCUAAGCGAUAUGACAUAAAUAAGCAUGUAAUCUAUCCUGAAGCAUGAGAUGGAUUUAUUCUAAAAAGUAAUUUUUUGUAUUUUCCAUGAGAUUCGAAAUUAAAGAAAUGCAACACUUAAAUAUGCAAUCUAAAUUAAUCUAAUGACCUAAUUCUAAUGACAAGCAAUUUCUAAUUAAAUGAACCUAACAAAAAUCACUAAAUGACGUGAAUUGUAUGAACCUAAUUCUAUAUGACGUGCACAUGAUUUUUAUUUUCCUAAUAAGCAUGCAAUCUAUCAUAAUAUGCAAUGACGUGCAAAGAAUGCUCUAGUUCUAUUUUUUUUUUAUGAAAUUCGAAAUUAAAAUUGCCAAAUAAUUAAACGUGUAAUUCAAAUUUAAAACUAACAUCCUAAAUGAAUGCAUUUUUUUGGAUUUUUAUUUUUAAAAAUUUGGAAUAAAAUCUCUAUUCUAAAUAUGCAAAAUAACCCUAAAACAAGAAAUAUUUUCAAAUGCAUCUAACCUAACUCAAAUAUAUUUUUGGGUUUUUCCUUUAUGGAAGCAAUCAAAUAAAGGCAUCAAAAACAGCAUGGCAACAAAUCAAGCAAGAUAUCAUCCAUGUCCAUUUAAUUUUGGGAAAUAAAUUGACGAAUCGUAUCUUACACAUGAGAUCGGAUUAGCCAAUUUUUAAAUAAAUCGCGAAUCGAAUCUCGAGCGUGAGAUCGGAUUGGCGAUUUUCUAUGCAAUUGCGAGUCGUAUUUCGAGCGUGAAAUCGGACUGUCAAUCAUAUGCACGUUGUGAAAUUGGGAAAAUUUCACAACUUAGAAGGCUACUCGAGUUGCGAUUAUCACGGCAUAUCAGGGAUUUCAAUCAUGUGCAUCAUUCGAAGAUUUGAAUUUAAUCACAAUAUCAUUGAAUUAAGUAAGGAAAUUACCAAAUUAAAUUUGGGUAAUAUCUUUACCUAUUUUGUAAUAUCGUUCCCGAAGUUGGACUUGUCGGAUGAUGGGGCUCGCAGUGAAUUCUACAAAAGAAAAGUCAAGCGCGAUGAUGGUAGAUUCACGGUGAUAUCCGGCUGAGGAGGGACUACUUCGCGGUGGUUGCGGCAGCUUGCUAAAUUGGACUGAAAUCAUCGCAACGAACUACUCAACAAAUCUGGGAAAAUCAAUGGAGCGGGCUGGACUUGCGCCAGGUGAUGUCUGCGAUUAAUGGAGAUCGUGACUGUGUGUGGCAGUGCAUUAAACAUAUAAUAACCACGUCAGGAAAGUGAAGCCAUGAGAAAACCAGAAAACUCUUCUUCUCUUAUUUUUAGGUGCUCACAUGGGCAUGAUAUGUGUCCCUUGUACGUGACUAUAGAGAAAGAAAAGUGGAAUUUUUAUUGAGAAUUGAAAACUCCCUUGAUAGCUUGAUGAUCCCCUCGGUUUACGCCUGAAGUUGGUCUCAGUGCGGCAGCAGCUUUGUCGAUGAGGAAUCCGCAGUGAUGGUGUCACGUAUGGACCGACGGUGGGACUCUCAGUACAGGCUGCUUGGUGAAGCCUGCCGGUUCAAUAAUUCUCGGCUAGGGAAGGAGCAACUCACUGGGUGGACUUCUCGAUGGAGGUGGUGACCACGCACAAGCAUGGGCUGACGGUGAGGAGGAUGCUCAGAUGUUCACCGAGAUAGUCUCACAGCGAACCUGCAAAAUAAAGAACGAUUUUGUUGCGGGAAGGCACCAUACUGGUCUCAGCUCGACAACGGUAGCGAUGUCAUGGCUCACGGCACGAUAGAAAAACUUAGUGCUGCUUAUUCGAGAACCUGCAAAACAGAAAGAGAUUCGCUGUAGUGAAAGGGAAGAGCUCAGCCAAGAGGGGGCCGUCGUGGUGCAGGUACAGCGUGGAUGUCUAGCAGCAACAAUUAUGGCUAGUGGAUCUCGGAGGCGGUGAUGGAGCGAUCUCGGAAUUGGGACCCAAAGAGCAGAAAGAACUUCGGUUUCUAUUCUCUAUUGGAUCCUCCAAUCUAUCUAUUCUCUCAACGUGUGGCCAUAUGUUCAAUGUGUGUGGCCCUCUUAAAACCCUACGCGAACAACGUUUUUAUAGGCCAAGGAUUAGGGUUUGAAUUUCUUUUUCAAAUCAACUUCCGUGAAGAUUGCUUUCUUAUUCUUGCAACUUUUCUUUCUGCCCACACCAAUGGAUACGUGAAGACUAAACCCCACUUUCCCUUUUUCGUUGAUUUCCUUUGUACGAAGCUGAUCCUCCUCCUUGCAUGAUGGUCAACAGAAUUGUCUAAGGAUUUUGAGAAUAUUGACUCAAUUUCAUGGGUGCUCAAGAUGGUCUCUCCUGUGGCCAAAUCUUUGUCCGCACGCUUUCAUCUUUUUUCUUGGAAGAUAUCAUUUUCUGUCCUUACGCAGAUUGAAUAUUCUCCGACCAAAUAAUUGCCCACAAAUUGGUCGAACAUUAGGCUAAAAAUUCAAGAUUGUUAUAGAAUCCUCUCAAAUUCCGAGUCUUGCAAAGAUGAGAUCGCAAUCCACUGUGAUAUCGUUGAAUAUUGAAAUAAUAAUACAAAUCUUUUCCGAAAUGCACCCAUCUCCCAACUUGUCAAAUUAAAGCUUAUUUGUCACCGGUCCAUGCAAAUGCGAUAAAAUAAAUAAAUAAAAAAACACUUAAAAAUAUAUGCUGUGAUUUAAUAUUUUUGUUUAGGGGUUAAAGUUCGGUCCCUAAUUUUUUAAUGAAUAAACGGGUCGCCAAAACUUAGGUGUCAACAAGAGUGAAUAUGCAAGAGGUUAUCAAGACAAAUACAACAGAACAAACUGCUUUUGACUAUGCAUAACGAAACAAAAUGAAGAAGAAUGAAUGUGUAAUGGGUUAUCGAGAUAAAUAUGGUAGAACGACCAAAUUUUAACUACCCAGAAUGUAGUAGAAAGAAGCAGAACGAACAUGUAAUGACUCGUCAAGAUAAAGAUGGCAGAACGACCAAAUUCUGACUACCUAGAACGAAGUAGGAAGAAGCAAAAUGAAUCAUCAAGAUAAAUAUAACAGAACGACCAGAUUCUGAUUAUCUAAAAUGAAGCAGAAAGAAACAUAAUGAACAUACAAUGGAUUAUCAAGAUAAAUGUAGUAGAACAAUUAGAUUUUGACUACUUAGAAUGAAGUAGAAAGAAACAGAACAAACCUUUGGAAACUGAAUGAUGUACCGUGUAGGGCUAUGUAGCGAUUUUUGGCUAAAUAAUCAUUGAUAAGUUUGCAUGAUUGUGUUAAUAUUCGGUAGAAGGUACAAAUCCUUCACUAUCUUAGAUUCAAUGGCAAUCAAAAAGCUUUAACUUAGUGCAGAGUUUCAGCUUUCAUCUCUUUAUGAAUCCAUCUUGAGGCUAUUUGGAAAUUGAAAACCUUUGCAAAUUGCAGACUUUGGUAUAUGAGGGCAUUAAAUGCCCUCUUACAAGCUACUGAAGACGCUUCUGUAGCUUAUUCUUAGGCAGACUUGCAGUUUUCAAACAGUAAUAUUUAUCGAAGUUGUGUGAAUUUUUUAAAGAAAUUGGACUGUAAUGACGUGGAUGGGAUCUGCAAAAUGAGUCUAAACAUUUGGAGGAUUAAGUACAAAUUUGGUUCUCUAAGUUUAGGCAUUUGUGUGAUUUGAUCUUCUAUUUUUUAUGUUGUGCAAUUAAGUCCUCUUAACUUUUUUGAUUUGUGCAAUCAGAUGUACUGUUUACUUGUUGUAAGUAAUGCUGUCACACUAUGAUUUCCUUUUUACUUGUUUUUCCUGUUUGCUUUCUGCUCAUUUGGAAGCAAAUUAGCAUCACCUUUUAUUUUUGUCGCUUAAACAAUGUCACGUCAUUGAUUAAUUCGUUGGUUUAGUCGAAGUGGUUGACCGAAGGAUUUGAUUACAUAAAUUCAAAAAGUUGAAGGAUUAGAUUGUACAAAAUAAAACUUGAAGGACCCAAUUUGCACAAAUGUGGAAAGUUAGAGGACUUGAUUUAACGAAAUAAAAAUUAGAGGAUCAAAUCGCAUAAAUGCUGGAACUUAAGGACCAUAAUAUGCACUUUACCCAACAUUUUUACUAUGAAUUACCUGUGGCGGUGCCUCGUCCGUGUCAGGCCGAGGCAAAUUAUGUCCGAGUCUGGUUUGUAUUUUCUAUUCUUUUAUUAAAUCUAAUAUCUUCUCAAUAGAGGCAACAAUCAAGACCCUUUUCGCUAAUCGGCCCUGCCCGGGACAGGCCGUGUAGGCCUUGCUGGGACCAUGCCGGUGCGCUGGUCAUUCCUAAUCCGGACAUUUGUUUAGCACGAUACAAGGUGUCAUGCCCUCCCCAAUGUGAUUUACUGCGGUUCUGAAAAAGCUUUUCUGUUCCUGGCAAUGUCACAGCCAAAAUUCCCUUCCAUCUUGUGUAACUGAGAAAACUGGUAAUGAGUAACAUCGUGAACAUGUUCUCUUUGAAAACUCGGGCACACGAUGCACAAAUCCGGCUGUCAAACACAAAAAAAAGGGGGUUUGACCUACAAUUUAGGCACACGAUGCAUAAAUCCGGCAGUGAAAACACAAAAAAAAAAAGGUCUGAACUACAUGGAGCAUGUAAUCUGGUGCCGCAGACAUCAAUGCCAGAACAUGUGACCGAGAAGAGACUUCCUUGUCAAUAGAUGGGACAUGAAAGCCUCCGGUAUGUGCACAUUGGCGGCACGAAUACACCAUUUGAAUGAUUGUUAUGAAAGCCCCCAGCUUCAGAGCUACUUUAUUCUUCCGGUUUUGAGACGGCAUGCUGUAAAGACCCAAAAUGUCGGUUUGCCCUUUCCACUAUGCUUGGCCGAUAUCAUGCAAAAAAUCAACCAAAGAACAGUUUAAUAUAUACGCACCAGGUUGUCAUUCAUUUUCUCGGAAGUUAACGAAGCCUUUGGAGUGUCUUGCUUGGCACCUUUUGUGUGAAAACAGAUUUUAAUAGACUCUGGCUAUGCCAGCCACGCUAAGCGGAGAAAGGUCCGUUUAUGUCAUAAUCUUUAGGACUGGAGAUGGGUUUCACUUAGUUGUAUGAAAACCAUUUGAAAAUUUGUUGAUCUUUGGCUCAUCCAAGGAAUUUUCCGUGCAUCAUCAGGAUUGAGAAAAGAUGGGACGUCCCUUGACUGAACUAUUUGCUCCUUGCAGUUCAGUCUACUAACAAAUGCAACCGGAGGAGGUGAGCGAUCCUUCGACUCAGCAACAGUUUCGGCUCCAGCAGAAUGUACAAACCAGUCCAAUUAAUCUGAUGCAGGCUGUACAAUUCCAGCCCCACGAUUAGUAGACGAUGCCGCUUCACGCGAUGCCGCAAUCUAAUCCACAGCAUCUGGUUGGUCCUGGACAAAUUCCACAAGCGAACCAAAGUUUUGGGGCUCAGUCGACUCUAUACUUAGGGCAACCGAUUCCCGUGAGUUUUCAGGUUCCAACCGGUUUCCAGCCAUUGCAUCCUGUCCCAGGCUUUACUACAGGGCCGAUGAAUGCUCCGGCUCAACCCUUUCAUACUGCUGGUUUAGACUAUCCUCAAGUGCCAUUUCAUCCGCAUAACGUGCCUCCGAUGCCUUAAGGGAUAAUAGUUCAAUUGCCACCAUCUGCUCCACCAUCUCCUUGGACAACGGGGUUGUUUGACUGCAUGGAUGACAUUUUAAUUGGUACAGUGGCCUUUUGCUUUUCCUGGGCAAGUUUAUAAUAAAAUGGACGAGUAACACCUGGAGAAUCUCCAAGUAUUUCUUGCGCGUUUGCAGUGGUUGUGGCCUGUUGCUUCCCCUGCGUAACAUUCGGCCAGAUAGCAGAGAUUGUUGACCGAGGAGUACAUGUUAGUAAGGAUGCUUUUACUAACUUUUAAAUCCUUGAUUCUACUAGUGUAGCAGAUAACGGAGAUCGGAAAAUUCAAUGUGCUUUCAACAUUCUAAGGGAGAGAGCAAUCGGAAUGACAUAUUUUAUGCACUUCAGCAUAUGAGAAGAAAGGGUCUCAUUGAACUAAUGCGGUUGAGAAUGAUGUUUGCUUUGCAGCAUGUGGAACGAGUGGGCUACUGUAUGGUGGGAUCCAGUUUCUCAUCGGUUGCCCGUGCUUGUUGUCCUGCACUUGCCAAACCAAGCUCCGGAACCAAUUCAACCUCAUUGAGUCCCCUGCUCCUGACUGGAUCACUCACUUCUUUUGCGAAUGUUGUGCUCUUUCUGAGGGAUACAGAGAGCCUAAGAACAGAGGACUUGACCCUUCCAUAGGCAAAACUAAUGUCGACUAUAGCCAUUUGAGCUCCAAACGAGCACUUAAUAAGCCAACUUAUUGCAAAUAUGGCACUAAAAUACUGUCGUUAUGGUGCCUCCAAUGCAUCAGCACGCCAUGAGAGCUUGACGAGGAACAUCACAUCGGAUCCAUCAAUGACUCAGAUCAUCCUCUUAUGUAGUCACCAAUGAGUCCAAGAAAGCGAAUGCCAAUGGAACUAUGAAGUUUCAAUUUGCAGAUAUGAAUAACAAAUUUCUUUCUAAAAGUUUCCAUCGAUUUGAGGAACAAAUUGAAAUAAAAUUGUCGAAGAAUAUCUUACAAUAGUCCAACAACUGAUUUGCUUCUGUGCUGUAUCGUUGUUGCAUCUUGAAACAUUACUUUCUUUUCCACCAGUUAGUUUCGGACUCAUAUCUAGGAUCAUGCCACUGUUCACAAUUCUGUGACAUCCAUCAAAUCCAUAACAUCAGCUGUUUUCAGUGGCAUGAUUUUUUUGAGGUGCUCGGUUCACUAGUCGUUUCUUUGGAUUAAGCUUUCCAAACUAUGUGCUUUCUUAAUUCAACCAAUGGAAAUUACACCGAGAAAGAAGGCUCCCAUCUAGAUGUGAGAGGAUGACCACUGUGAGGUGAUCGCAGCCACCACAAGAGAUACGCGAUGUGAGAUGGAUGGCCUCACGUCGACUGCAACACGGUGGUUGCCAUCUCUCUCUUGCACACGCACGCGGCUCUCAGCCUAUUUGGCACCAUAUUAGCUGCAUAAGAGCCACGUGACCCAGUGAAAAUUAAUGUAACACAUGUACGUUGAUUGUCCAGCUACUAUUCCAACGUGCUCCUUAGCACUAUGUAUAGAGCUUUUCAACCGGAAGGCCGACUGCAAACACAUUUUACAAAAAAAAUUGUCACCUUGUCUGGUUUCUCAAGUACUCAUUUUGGAGUUUGGCCCACGUCUAGAGUAGGUCGAGUCGUCAUAGCAUGUCUCCUUUUGAUAGAUCUACGGUUUGCGGAUGGAAUAGGUGUGACAGCCUGAAUUUUCAUAACUUGUUUUCGAUUAAAUAAAUCGGGUCUUUCAUCGAAACGCUAAUAGUGCUAUUCUCUGAGCUGAUCACUCAUGAGAUAACUGGACUAUCUGGGGAAACAAGUAGGGAAUCUAAAUGCAAUUGCACUUGAGAAUUCGACCAAGAAUCGACUGCUCAACCGUGUUGAUCUGCAAGGGUCAUUACGGCACCGUCAGAGAUCGAUUAGAAAUCAAAGAUAGGUCGAUUCGACUGAGAUAUGUGAUCAAAUUGUGGGUGAUUCCACUUGAUUGAAAAAUUCUCAUCGAUCGGCACUAAAUUGAUUUUCUGUCAUUUUGGUACCCGGUGCCCGUAAUUGAAACCUUGAGAUUUUCACGACAACUGAGAGUUGCUAAUGGGUCGAAGAUGUACUUUGUGACUCGAGAUAAAUCGAUCACAGGUCAAUUGUACCAAAAAUUCCUAAAAGUUAUCCGGUAGACUAGAUCACGCUAAAAGCGCGCCGGAUUGAAAAUAACCGCAAAUUUGAACCCGAUUUCAGAAAUUGAAAGUUCUGAGGUGUCACAAGCUAUUUUAGGAACGUCGACUCUCUCUCCGAAGAAUUUUCAGAGAUUCUGAGAUUUUUUGCGGAAAAUUGAUACGGACGUUGCGGAAAAUCAGCGGAAAUUCAGAUGGGCUAAAUCGAUGGAAAUUGAGACUUCUAAGCCAAGCCUGUGAGUGUCAGGAAUUUAUAGAAAAUCGUUCGGGAUUUUUCUUCAUCAAGAUUGGACCUCAAUUUGGGAAAUUGAGUGAAGGAAUUUAUCCUAAAAAUUAGUGAAAUUCGGAUCAAUAAUGGGGAUGGAAUUUUGCACUUAAAUUGAGUUAUUUUGGUGGAUAAUUGAUUGGAAAGUAAUAGGGAACAUCCAAUUAAUGGAAUGGCUAAGGUUUGUCAAAAUUGGGCCCCUCCUUGGCUUCCUUCACACGCCUCUCCACCGCCUCUCUCCCUUCGUGCGAUGAGCGAAGACCGAUUGCAUCUGUCCUUUUCUUUCUUUCGUUUUGUCGAAGCUCCCUUCCCACGCUCUCUGCCAUUCCCACCAUCUCUUGUUCUCCACGUCCGCGAGCCCUGCUUCCUUCUGCCGAGUGUUGGCCAGCAAGUUCUAGCGCCCACAGUCAAUGGAAGACACGAGCAAGCUGCCCGUGUGUUGACUCCAACAAGUGGCCGAAGCUGCUUCAGCGAUCUUUCCCCCUGCAGCCACCACUUGUCCGUGUGCCAUCUUUGUUCGGUCAACUUCAACAAUCCACCGAAGCUGCUCCAUCCACGUCCACACGCCCCUGCAGCUCACCGAAACCCCAAGUUCCGGUUAACGGUGCUUCCUCCUCCAUCGGUUUGUUGACCGUAAACCCCCCACUCAUCCAUUUCAGCAUCACCGCAGCUCUCCACCCAAUCUCUCUCUCGCGUUGUUACUUCUUCGUUCAGUUCACUUCCGCACGUCCUCCACCGGCGAUUUCUUUCAGCUGCCGUGUCCGAAGUUCCUCGCCAAAGAAAACUGAGCAAUCUUCCUCCGAACCGAAGCCUCAUGAAGCAGCUGCUCCUUCAUCAUUGAUCUUCACCGAGUCAGGCCCAACAUCACCGUGGCUCAGCCCAUAUCAACGGCCCAGCAAGUUACCAUUCUUCUGCAACCCAUCUUCAUGUAAAGCCAGCCCAUUUGAAGUCCAUCAGUAGCCCAACAGAACAGUCUAAUUAAUUGGGUCUUCAGCCCAAUUCAGCAAGGCCCAAUUCUAGCAAGUUCAAUUGGUUUUAGCAGCCCAUUUUGGGCCCAAGAAGAAGGCCCAAGCCGCGACCAGCAGCCCGCAGAAGCCCAAGACCUAAACUCAGCCUUGCUGAGUUGUGUUGGGCCCGUUUUAGGCCCGGUCCGAGAGUCCGCCGACGCCGCCGAAAAUUAAGGUUUCGGCCGCCGUCGCGUCGUUGUCGCGGUGAACCGGUUUUCGCGAUACACCGGUGAGUUUAUACUCUAAACUCUGCUUAGUAGGUUAAUGACGUUUAAGGGGUGUUAGAUUUAUUUUAUUAGGAAUUAGGUGGGUAGUUAGAUUAAAUUAGAAAUUGAAUUAUUUAAUUGAGCAUGUUAGGUGGUUAGCAUGGUUUAGCUAAGGCCUAAAUAAAUUGUACUAUUUAUCUAGAAGGGUUCGGGAAUUUUCCGGGUCCGUAUUGGUUAUUAAUUUAAUGAUUUUGGCCUAGGUUAUUAUUUGUAGAAUUUAAAUUGAUUUAUUUAAUUAAUUUCAGUAAUUAAUUAAUUAUUAAUUAUUUUUCCAGAAAUUAGACCGGGAUAGCCAGUGACCGGAAUAUCGUGCUGAUUGCAAUGGUGUGGUCAAUUUCUGCAAUUGAGUGCUGAUUGGAUUUUUGGUAUUUAAUUCCAAAAUUGUGAAUUUCCAAUAUUUAUUCAGAAAAUCCCAGGUGUCGGGUUUUGAUACCGAAAAUGGUUUUUAGUACUAUAUGAAAUAGUGGGAUUUCAAAAAGGAGGAAUAUCAAUUUUUCUGGAUCAAGUUUACCGUGUACCCACACACAAGUAAUUUCAUGUGAAUUUCUAAUACGAAGAAAAAGGCCAGGCUCACCAUUUUAAUUGAAGCAUUUGAGUGCAAUGCACGGUGUCCUGGGCCAUAUUUGAGUGAUCGUGUGAUGGUUAUGAGAAAUCGUCCCGGGCUAUUGAGCUGGACGUUAUCCCUAUGUGGGAUACCCCCUGGACAACGGGAAGCCGGUCGCAGUUGAUUCUGGACCCUAUGCUCCUUCGGGAAAGCCGUCUGAUAAAGAGACGUUGCCGUGCUCAAUGGGGUGAGACGAUGCCUGGCAAUGCCAGAAGACCGCCGAACUGAGAGUAGGCCGUGCUAUAUGCCGAGAUCAAAUCUAAGAACGCAUGAUUAAUUGAGUGUGGCAUUUCAAUUACUGGAGCUUAUUUGUUGCUCAUGCUCUCGUGUUGUCUAUGAGAUAAAUUGUACUGACCUGCAGGGUGGAUCUGAGACGAGGUAAGUCUCCUUGAUUGUGUGAUUGCGGGCUUAGGACGCUUCUUGGCGUAUUUCCCUCCUAAUUGGGGUUUAGAGCUUAGACUCGCUGAGAUGAUAUCUCACCCCGUUGUGGGACAACAUUUUCAGGGUCGUCGAGUGGAGGACCUGGAGCUGAGAGGAGGUGAUCGGAAGCGUAGGUCAGUUAGGACCGCUUCUUUUUGGAAGGCCAGUCUUUUGUAGUCUUUGUCCAUAGACCUGUGUUCAUGACUCAGUGUAUAUAUAAAAGCAUGUUUGUUUGUGAAUCUAUUAUCCUGCCUUUCUAUCCCGAGAUGAUUACUGUCAGGGGAUUUCUUUUCGCUUCCGCAUGUGCAAUAAAAUGGAAAGGGUCGGCGACUCGUCCUGGGAAGUCGCAAAAUUUUUAUCGACCAGAUAGGGAUGGGCACGCGCUCAGGGUCCGGGGCGUGACAUACCCUUUUUAUGGUAUCAGAGCGAAGUUUGUAAUUGGAGUGAUACGGUGCGAUGGGUUCUUGGGAUAGUUAGUAGGAAUGGCUUUUAUAUUAUGCUGAUGCAUGUGACUGAUAGCUGUCUGGUAAAUUGAUUGUGAAAUCACUCAGUUUCUAAUUCAGUAUGGAAUUGGAAACAGGUGUUGUAGAUCGUCUACAGUAUGAGUGAUCAGGAGCCGAGAACUCCUAGGCAGAGGACCUUAUCCUCAGUGACUCGGGCUAGAACGCCUACAAGAGGCAGUACCCGAGGCGGUCAAGGUAGAGCGCAAGCUGAGGCUAGCGCGAGUGGUGUAGCACCACCACCAGUCCCGCCGGUUGAUGCCGGGGUAGCAGCCCCUGGUGAUCCUAGAUUCGAAGGGAUCAUGCAGGUGCUCCAGACUAUUGGUAAUCUGAUGGGGCAGCAGGCCUAGAACCAAGCUGCCGCAGCCGCUGCCGCACAAGCUGAAGUUCCAGAAGGAAAUGUAGUUGCAAACAGACCGAUUCAUAAGCUCGUUGAGCAUUUCCUAAAGUUGCAACCACCAAAGUUCACCGGGACAGGAGAUCCCGAGGCUGCGACCCGUUGGAUCGAAGGACUGGAAAAAGCAUUUGAGCUACUGAAGUGCUCUGAAGAAGAGAAGGUUACCCUUGCCGUGUAUCAGAUGCAGGAAGUUGCAAGUACUUGGUGGAAAGCCACCAGGAGAGAAGUAUUCCCAGAAGGCGUAGUCCUAGAGUGGAACGUCUUCAUUAGAGCAUUCAAUAACAAGUACUUCUCCAGCUGUGCCAAGCAAUUAAAGAUGGCGGAAUUUCUGCACCUCCGUCAAGGUCCAAUGACUGUGGACCAGUACGAGGCAAAGUUUGCUGAGCUUUCACAGUAUGCUCCUAGGUUGAUCCAGGAUCCCGAGGAGAAGGCAAUGAGAUUUAUAGAUGGCCUCCGACCAGAACUGAAAGAUCCACUGGUGCCAUUUGAUAUAAAGAACUACAAUGAGCUGUAUGGACGAGCUCAGCUGAUUGAGAAAAAUCUGAAUGAACGAGCUGCCGCAUCUGGAUCGCGGUUUAAUUCGAACCAAGAUAGAAAUCGGUUUGGGAAAAGACCGAUGACUGGAGGAAGAUACCCUGUUCCGCUCAAUAGGAAGGGUGGAGUAAGAAAAUCAACAUGGAGACAGAAUGGUGCCUGUCGCUUCUGCGGAAAGCGACAUGGGUCAGCCCCGUGCCCCUCUAGGCCGGGUGCUUGUUUUGAGUGUGGCCAACAGGGUCACAUGGCUAAAAAUUGUCCCAGAAGACCGAUGGGACCGCCACAGUUGCCGCCACCGCCACAGAUGAAUCAGAACCGGGGACUACCGCCACCGAUUGUACAGCAGGGUGGACUACUUAGGCCUCCAACUCAAGGAAGAACUUAUGCGAUCACAAGAGGACAGGCGGAGGAUGCGCCUAAUGUGAUUACAGGUACUAUUUCACUGAACAACCAUGCUGCUUAUGCUUUAUUUGACCCUGGUGCAACUCAUUCAUUUAUAGCUGAGCGGUAUGUUAAGUUGGUAGGAUUAAUUCCUGAGUUGUUGAAAUCAGUGAUUAGUAUAUCGACACCAUUAAAGGAUAAUGUGUUAGCUACAGUGGGUUGUCUUGGUUGCAUGUUAGCGAUUGGUGAGCGAGAGGGGAAGAUUGACUUGAUAGUCCUAGCCAUGUAUAACUUUGACCUAAUAAUUGGCAUGGACUGGCUCACCAAACAACGAGCUAAGCUAGACUGUUAUCGCAAGACGAUCCAGUUUAACCCGUUAGAGGGUGAAAGUUUCGAGUUUAUUGGGAGCCGAGGAGGACCCUCGAUUUCCCUAAUCUCGUCACUAGAGGCAACCCGGUUGUUAGAUGAGGGUUGUCAAGGUUAUCUGGCGACUGUCGUGGACACGACAGUUGAGGAGCUGAAAAUCGAAGACAUUGCAGUGGUUCAGGAAUUUCCAGAUGUAUUCCCGAAAGAAUUGCCAAGUCUACCGCCAGAAAGAGAAAUAGAGUUUGUGAUUGAGUUAGCCCCCGGGACAGAGCCAAUCUCUAAGGCUCCUUACCGGAUGGCUUUAUCGGAAUUGAAAGAACUAAAGGUGCAGAUGCAGGAAUUAUUGGAUAAGGGAUUCAUACGUCCCAGUGCAUCACCUUGGGGAGCACCAGUUCUGUUCGUGAAAAAGAAAGAUGGUUCAUUGCGCCUGUGCAUUGACUAUCGACAACUCAAUCAAGUGACGAUCAAGAACAAGUAUCCACUUCCGAGGAUUGAUGACUUGUUUGAUCAAUUGCAAGGAGCGUCGAUAUUUUCGAAAAUCGACCUGAGGACAGGAUAUCAUUAGUUGAGAAUCAGAAAAGAAGACAUUCCAAAGUUAGCAUUUCGUACUCGGUACGGCCAUUAUGAAUUCACGGUCAUGCCAUUUGGAUUGAUGAACGCCCCAGCUGCUUUUAUGGAUUUGAUGAACCGAGUUUUCAAGGAAUACUUGGAUCAGUUCGUGAUCGUGUUCAUUGAUGACAUUCUGGUGUACUCUAGAAGUCCAGAGGAGCAUGAAGGACAUUUGAGAUUGGUAUUGCAGACUCUAAGGACUCAUGAGUUGUAUGCUAAAUUCAGCAAGUGCGAGUUUUGGUUGACUCGUGUUGCUUUCUUGGGUCACGUGAUUUCAGGAGAAGGAAUCUCCGUGGACCCAAGCAAGAUAGAAGCAGUGAUCAAUUGGCCAAGACCGACAACAGUAACAGAAAUCAGAAGUUUUCUGGGUUUGGCAGGGUAUUACAGACGAUUUGUGGAAGGUUUCUCAUCAUUAGCCUCGCCUCUAACAAAGCUCACGAAGAAAAACGAGAAGUUCAUAUGGACAGAUAAGUGCGAGCGUAGUUUUCAAGAGCUGAAAGAAAAGCUGACUACUGCACCGGUACUGACGAUUCCAUCUGGUCCUGGAGGAUUUGAGAUCUAUAGUGAUGCGUCUUUUAGAGGAUUGGGUUGCGUGUUGAUGCAACAUGGUAAAGUUGUUGCAUACGCGUCUCGUCAGUUGAGACCUCAUGAAUUGAAUUACCCGACGCAUGACUUAGAACUCGCAGCCAUCAUAUUUGCAUUGAAGAUUUGGAGGCAUUAUUUGUGUGGAGAAAAGUUCCAGAUCUUCACUGACCAUCAGAGUCUCAAGUAUUUGUUCUCUUAGAAGGAGUUGAACAUGAGGCAGCGCCGAUGGAUGGAACUGUUGAAGGACUAUGACUGUGAUAUUUUGUAUCAUCCCGGAAAAGCGAACAAGGUCGCCGAUGCACUGAGUCGAAAGUCCUCAGUUGCACAGAUGGUACUUAAGGAAUGGACUUUAAUCGAGAAGGCUAGAGAUUCGGUUUUCAAAUUUGAGGUAGGCCGCCUUUCAAAUCUUAUGGCCACCCUCAGAAUUGAGCCGGAAGUGCAAGUCAGAAUCAAGAUGCUUCAGUCAACAGAUCUGGUUAUUCAGAAGAUCCUGCAAGAGGAUACCGAUAAAAGAAAAGCUGACUUUCAAAUUUCUGAGGACGGAACGUUGAGGUUCCAAGGACGUUUGGUUGUACCUGACAAUGUAGAGCUUAAAGAAGAAAUUUUAUCUGAAGCACACCGUAGCAGUUACAGCAUUCAUCCUGGCAGUACGAAAAUGUAUCAGAAUCUGCGUCAACAUUAUUGGUGGUCUGGUAUGAAGGCGGACAUCGCCAAGCAUGUCGCCAAAUGUCUGACCUGUCAGCAAGUAAAGGCUCAACACUGUAAGCCGGGAGGACUUUUGCAACCUCUCGCGAUCCCAGAAUGGAAAUGGGAGCAUAUCACAAUGGACUUCGUGACUGGACUACCAAGGAGUCAAAGAGGAAAUGAUUCAAUUUGGGUAGUGGUCGACAGGCUAACAAAGUCGGCUCACUUCAUUACAGUACGAAAGGACUUGAGUCUGGAUAGACACGCAGACCUAUAUGUGCGUCAGGUAGUUCGUAUGCAUGGAGUGCCGGUUACGAUAACUUCAGAUAGAGACCCGAGGUUUACUGCUGCUUUUUGGAAGAGCUUGCAAAGUGCUUUAGGUACAAAGCUACAGUACAGUAUGGCCUAUCAUCCACAGACCGAUGGCCAGUCUGAGAGGACUAUUCAAACUCUCGAGGACAUGCUGAGAGCUUGCGUAAUAGACUUCAAAGGAAGUUGGGAAGAUCAGCUUCACCUGGUAGAGUUUGCCUACAACAACAGUUAUCAGCAGAGCAUCCGGAUGGCUCCAUUCGAAGCGUUGUAUGGCCGAGCGUGCAGAACACCAGUGUGUUGGGAUGAAGUUGGGGAAAGGAAGAUAACAGGCCCAGAGUUGAUUCAGCAGUCAGUAGAUGCCGUGGCAGUGAUUAGAGGCAGAUUAAAGACAGCGCAGAGCAGGCAGAAAAGUUAUGCAGAUAAGCGUCGAAGGUCUUUAGAGUUUCAAGUUGGUGAUCACGUUUUUCUGAAAGUGUCACCAAUGAGAGGAACUUCGCGCUUUGGUAAGAAAGGCAAACUGAGUCCGAGGUACGUAGGUCCGUUUGAGAUUCUUGAAAGAAUCGGGAACCUAGCAUAUCGUCUUGCAUUGCCGCCAAGAUUGGCGCAAGUGCAUGACGUUUUUCACGUGUCGAUGUUAAGGAAGUAUGAGCCUGACCCGACCCACGUGCUCAAUUUUGAGGAAUUCGACGUGGAUGACCGUGUGUCAUACGUGGAAAGCCCGGUUCAGAUUGUCGAUCGCAAGGAGCAAGUUCUGCGUACAAAGACCAUUCCGUUGGUCAAAGUGGUCUGGCAACACCACGGUACAGAAGGAGCGACAUGGGAGACUGAGGAGUCAAUGAGAGAAUUGUACCCCCACCUUUUUGAUCAAGUCUUGUAAUAGGUUUAAAUUUCGAGGACGAAAUUUUUAUAAGAGGGGAAGAGUUGUGACAGCCUGAAUUUUCAUAACUUGUUUUCGAUUAAAUAAAUCGGGCCUUUCAUCGAAACGCUAAUAGUGCUAUUCUCUGAGCUGAUCACUCAUGAGAUAACUGGACUAUCUGGAGAAACAAGUAGGGAAUCUAAAUGCAAUUGCACUUGAGAAUUCGACCAAGAAUCGACUGCUCAACCGUGUUGAUCUGCAAGGGUCAUUACGGCACCGUCAGAGAUCGAUUAGAAAUCAAAGAUAGGUCGAUUCGACUGAGAUAUGUGAUCAAAUUGUGGGUGAUUCCACUUGAUUGAAAAAUUCUCAUCGAUCGGCACUAAAUUGAUUUUCUGUCGUUUUGGUACCCGGUGCCCGUAAUUGAAACCUUGAGAUUUUCACGACAACUGAGAGUUGCUAAUGGGUUGAAGAUGUACUUUGUGACUCGAGAUAAAUCGAUCACAGGUCAAUUGCACCAAAAAUUCAUAAAAGUUAUCCGGUAGAUUAGAUCACGCUAAAAGCGCGCCGGAUUGAAAAUAACCGCAAAUUUGAACCCGAUUUCAGAAAUUGAAAGUUCUGAGCUGUCACAAGCUAUUUUAGGAACGUCGACUCUCUCUCCGAAGAAUUUUCAGAGAUUCCGAGAUUUUUUGCGGAAAAUUGAUACGGACGUUGCGGAAAAUCAGUGGAAAUUCAGAUGGGCUAAAUCGAUGGAAAUUGGGACUUCUAAGCCAAGCCUGUGAGUGUCAGGAAUUUAUAGAAAAUCGUUCGGGAUUUUUCUUCAUCAAGAUUGGACCUCAAUUUGGGAAAUUGAGUGAAGGAAUUUAUCCUAAAAAUUAGUGAAAUUCGGAUCAAUAAUUGGGGAUGGAAUUUUGCACUUAAAUUGAGUUAUUUUGGUGGAUAAUUGAUUGGAAAGUAAUAGGGAACAUCCAAUUAAUGGAAUGGCUAAGGUUUGUCAAAAUUGGGCCCCUCCUUGGCUUCCUUCACACGCCUCUCCACCGCCUCUCUCCCUUCGUGCGAUGAGCGAAGACCGAUUGCAUCUGUCCUUUUCUUUCUUUCGUUUUGUCGAAGCUCCCUUCCCACGCUCUCUGCCAUUCCCACCAUCUCUUGUUCUCCACGUCCGCGAGCCCUGCUUCCUUCUGCCGAGUGUUGGCCAGCAAGUUCUAGCGCCCACAGUCAAUGGAAGACACGAGCAAGCUGCCCGUGUGUUGACUCCAACAAGUGGCCGAAGCUGCUUCAGCGAUCUUUCCCCCUGCAGCCACCACUUGUCCGUGUGCCAUCUUUGUUCGGUCAACUUCAACAAUCCACCGAAGCUGCUCCAUCCACGUCCACACGCCCCUGCAGCUCACCGAAACCCCAAGUUCCGGUUAACGGUGCUUCCUCCUCCAUCGGUUUGUUGACCGUAAACCCCCCACUCAUCCAUUUCAGCAUCACCGCAGCUCUCCACCCAAUCUCUCUCUCGCGUUGUUACUUCUUCGUUCAGUUCACGUCCGCAUGUCCUCCACCGGCGAUUUCUUUCAGCUGCCGUGUCCGAAGUUCCUCGCCAAAGAAAACUGAGCAAUCUUCCUCCGAACCGAAGCCUCAUGAAGCAGCUGCUCCUUCAUCAUUGAUCUUCACCGAGUCAGGCCCAACAUCACCGUGGCUCAGCCCAUAUCAACGGCCCAGCAAGUUACCAUUCUUCUGCAACCCAUCUUCACGUAAAGCCAGCCCAUUUGAAGUCCAUCAGUAGCCCAACAGAACAGUCUAAUUAAUUGGGUCUUCAGCCCAAUUCAGCAAGGCCCAAUUCCAGCAAGUUCAAUUGGUUUUAGCAGCCCAUUUUGGGCCCAAGAAGAAGGCCCAAGCCGCGACCAGCAGCCCGCAGAAGCCCAAGACCUAAACUCAGCCUUGCUGAGUUGUGUUGGGCCCGUUUUAGGCCCGGUCCGAGAGUCCGCCGACGCCGCCGAAAAUUAAGGUUUCGGCCGCCGUCGCGUCGUUGUCGCGGUGAACCGGUUUUCGUGAUACACCGGUGAGUUUAUACUCUAAACUCUGCUUAGUAGGUUAAUGACGUUUAAGGGGUGUUAGAUUUAUUUUAUUAGGAAUUAGGUGGGUAGUUAGAUUAAAUUAGAAAUUGAAUUAUUUAAUUGAGCAUGUUAGGUGGUUAGCAUGGUUUAGCUAAGGCCUAAAUAAAUUGUACUAUUUAUCUAGAAGGGUUCGGGAAUUUUCCGGGUCCGUAUUGGUUAUUAAUUUAAUGAUUUUGGCCUAGGUUAUUAUUUGUAGAAUUUAAAUUGAUUUAUUUAAUUAAUUUCAGUAAUUAAUUAAUUAUUAAUUAUUUUUCCGGAAAUUAGACCGGGAUAGCCAGUGACCGGAAUAUCGUGCUGAUUGCAAUGGUGUGGUCAAUUUCUGCAAUUGAGUGCUAAGUUAUGCAAAUUGAGUGCUGAUUGGAUUUUUGGUAUUUAAUUCCAAAAUUGUGAAUUUCCAAUAUUUAUUCAGAAAAUCCCAGGUGUCGGGUUUUGAUACCGAAAAUGGUUUUUAGUACUAUAUGAAAUAGUGGGAUUUCAAAAAGGAGGAAUAUCAAUUUUUCUGGAUCAAGUUUACCGUGUACCCACACACAAGUAAUUUCAUGUGAAUUUCUAAUACGAAGAAAAAGGCCAGGCUCACCAUUUUAAUUGAAGCAUUUGAGUGCAAUGCACGGUGUCCUGGGCCAUAUUUGAGUGAUCGUGUGAUGGUUAUGAGAAAUCGUCCCGGGCUAUUGAGCUGGACGUUAUCCCUAUGUGGGAUACCCCCUGGACAACGGGAAGCCGGUCGCAGUUGAUUCUGGACCCUAUGCUCCUUCGGGAAAGCUGUCUGAUAAAGAGACGUUGCCGUGCUCAAUGGGGUGAGACGAUGCCUGGCAAUGCCAGAAGACCGCCGAACUGAGAGUAGGCCGUGCUAUAUGCCGAGAUCAAAUCUAAGAACGCAUGAUUAAUUGAGUGUGUCAUUUCAAUUACUGGAGCUUAUUUGUUGCUCAUGCUCUCGUGUUGUCUAUGAGAUAAAUUGUACUGACCUGCAGGGUGGAUCUGAGACGAGGUAAGUCUCCUUGAUUGUGUGAUUGCGGGCUUAGGACGCUUCUUGGCGUAUUUCCCUCCUAAUUGGGGUUUAGAGCUUAGACUCGCUGAGAUGAUAUCUCACCCCGUUGUGGGACAACAUUUUCAGGGUCGUCGAGUAGAGGACCUGGAGCUGAGAGGAGGUGAUCGGAAGCGUAGGUCAGUUAGGACCGCUUCUUUUUGGAAGGCCAGUCUUUUGUAGUCUUUGGCCAUAGACCUGUGUUCAUGACUCAGUGUAUAUAUAAAAGCAUGUUUGUUUGUGAAUCUAUUAUCCUGCCUUUCUAUCCCGAGAUGAUUACUGUCAGGGGAUUUCUUUUCGCUUCCGCAUGUGCAAUAAAAUGGAAAGGGUCGGCGACUUGUCCUAGGAAGUCGCAAAAUUUUUAUCGACCAGAUAGGGAUGGGCAUGCGCUCGGGGUCCGGGGCGUGACAAUAGGCUCAUACCCAAUCCAACAAGGGCAAGGAGUAUUGCUCAACUGAGAAGGAUUGGACAAGGAGUACUCUUGGCAAACUUUUAAGAUAGCUAAUGGUGCACGGAAAUAACGCAACAAUGCAGAAUAUGCAGUAUCAGGUUGCUAUGAAGCCUCCAACUUUAUAGAUUUUCUUAUUUACUUUCUUUUUUCUUUCUUUCUUUUUCCGUCCUACCGUUUGUGUGUUUCUUUGGGUGUUAAUCCAAUGUCCCCACUCCAUGGCUACAACAUUUACAAGAGCCAAUUCACUGUGCUACUAUUGGUGGAGUUUUUUCUGUUCUUCAUCUUCGUUUUUAGUAAAGACAGAGGAUUGAUUUGACAAUACUAGUAAUAAAAAAGUCAUUGAUGUUGUAAUGGCUGGCUUUUGACUUAGUCAAUAUUGAUUAGUAAAGAGAAAAAAAAAAGUGGACUCAAGAAAAGGAGUACACGUUCAAAAGAGGCAAAUAAAGAAAAAAAAAAGAGAAAAGGAGAGAAACAAAGGCGAAAGAGUAGGAAGGGAUAGGAAAAGAAAGAAGAGUAAAUGCUAUGGCACCUCGUCAAGUUAGAUUAACUUUAUCUCGCAAUGCCCAAUUAAUCUAAUUAGAGAAAUUUUCAAAAUAAAGCUCUAAUUUUAGAUCCUUGUGAAUUUUAAGCCAAUUGGUUAAUUCUACGAGUUGUUAAGCUAAGAAAUUAUGGGGUAUUAAUAGUUUAGGGUAUUGUAAAACUAUAGGAUUUUACAUAACUUGAUUCAAGUUUAUAGUUUGCCCGAAAUGAAUUUUCAAAAUUAUGCGCGCAUGCCGUAACAUUAGCGAAUUUCCUAGUUUACCAAUGAUUAUGGCCCAUCUUAAGCUAUCUUUAGAGUUGGCAAAACUUAGGGAAUCUAAUUAUCUCGAAGGGUCUUUCAUUAGAGAGAAGAUUUGCUAGAAUCAUGGUUUAAUGAAGAGAGUUGUGGUGCAAAAAAUUUUUGACACGCAAGCUAGGCAUAGCGGAUAGUUUUGAAUGACUACUACAACAAGCCUUUCAUUGUUGCAUAGGAGUCGAUUGGUUGACGAACGAGCAUAGUUUAGAUCAUCAAUUAAAGUAGUGUUUUGCUUUGUCUUGACAUCAAUUCUCGUUUAAUUGAUAGAAUAUUGUCAACUCAAAUAGCUACAUUAUUUGGCUUUGAGUAUUCCUAAUUGAGUGGUGUUGAUCUCUUUUAUAGUAUUAUAAAAUCCAUGACUUAAAAUAAUAGUAAUUUGAUAUUAUAUAUCUGUUUGUGUAUAUAUAUAUGUGUGUGUGUAUUGAACUAAGAAGAACAUAAUUGUUGCAUAAAACUAGAUCAAGUGUUUAUUAUUUUUUAGUUAUAGUACGAUGGUCUGAUAAACUUUUCUUGAAAGGUAAUGUGUAUUAUAUCAUAAAAAUACUUAUGAGAUAAAUUUUGAAAACAUUAGAGAAAUACUUUACAAAAAGGGAUUUUGAUUGAUGAAUUGAGUUGCAAAAGAUUAGAUAUUUUGGUUUAUGAUAUAGAUAGGUUUGGUGGAUUUUGGAGGAUAAUGUUGUGAGUUUGUGUUGAUGCUCAUUAUCUUUGGGGGCCCAUUUGAGGGGUUUGUAAGUAUGUGUACUAGUUUUAGGAUAUCUUUGUGGGUUGGCUACUAGGAAUAUAAGUAGAGACCUAGCCAAUGAAAGAAUCUUAGUUGCCUUUAUCAUAGGGCAUUGAGCAUGAUGGACCAUUGACGUAUGAUUUGAUGAGAUUGAUUAGUGGACUGAACCAUUAAUACUUAUUUUGAUAUUAUUGAUGAAAUUGGUAUUUUUUGUUAUUAAUAUAGUUAUGUUGAAGUAAUAUAGUUCAUUUUCAUCUUGUAAAUUUGUUAUAUAUUGGAUUUAGUGUAAAUGAGUUACCUUUUUGUGUCCUAAACAUUCAUAGUGGAUCCCUGAUUUGUUUUGAAGAGAUUUGUACUACUCAUUGGCCUAUAAUUGCCCAUUCCAUUUAUCUUACUUCUAUUUUUAGGUUCUUCAGGUAGUCGUUAAUAGGACAAGAGUGUUUACAUUUUUAGGAUGAUAUUUUGAUAGUGGGAUUUUUUUAUAUGAGUUGUUUAUGUCUGCAUUGAACUAUGAGUUUAUUUGUUAGUUGGAGAUAUAUAUGUGUUUUUUUUUUUUUGGAUUAUAGAAACUCUAAUCUUGUAAACAAAUGACACUUUAUCAAAUAUAUGGAUGUAUAUAUUGCGAUAUCAAGUUGAGUUAUAGUUACGAUUGAAGCUACAUUAUUUGGAUGAAAUGAUGGCCGUGUCAUCCCUUAUACUUGUUGGAGUCGGAUGUGUGAUAAAUGUUAUAAGUUGAGAUCGGUAUUUUAGAUCUUAAUUGCGUGAAGUAUAGAAUUUUCCUUUCAAUGUGCCUCUGCCGCUGCUUCAAUUUUCACUUGAGGCCUCCCUUUAUCCCGCGCCACUGCCACUGCUUGAAUUGUUACAAAGAGCAACUCCCUUAAUAUGCCAAAUCGUGGCGAAAUCGGGUGGGAAUUCGUUUAAUUCUGAUGAAUCUUCACCAUUUGCCUUGGUUUCUUGCGCCUCCAUGCAGAUUGGCGCCAGCUGCAGCAAAAUGGGCUUGGUUGGGAUCACUGGGAAUUUAUGAGACCGGUUAGCUUGUGGCCAGCUUUGGCACUAUUCACCGGAAAUUUGAGCAUUAUCAGGUUGAUUAUCGAGACGCGCUUGUCAGCACCGCCAUUAGAUCUACCGAAUGAGAAUGCUUUUCCGUAAUCCAUGGAGGAGCACCGGCAGCCACGCCACCAGCUUUAACUCUAGACAAAUCAGCUUUCUUACGAUGAUUUACUAUGUUUCCCAAAGAGAUUCGGGAUUAACAGUAGUACUUUAGCUUGACUUUAGAAAAAUCAGCUUUCUUGCAACGAUUUACCAUGUUUCCCUGAGAGAUUCAGGAUGAGCAAAAGUGCGAAAGAAGAAAGAACAUAACAAAUCAGGAGAUUCACAAAAAUAUUUAAAAUCAUAUUAUUUCAAUUCAGUUUGUCCAAGACAUAUGACUGAUCGUGUUACUAAAGAUGAUUAGAGAGACCGGACUGGUAUGUCAACAUUUUCAAAUAAAAUUAGCCGAAAAGAAUAUGUUUGAGUAUAAAAAAAAAUUGAAUUGAAAAAGUCUAAGAUUAUAUCGAAAUUCUUUAAUUUAAGACUAAAUUGGUAAUUUUCCCCCUCUGAUCUAAUCUUUCCUUCCCUCACUUUUUCCUAGCUCUUUCCUAAAUCCCAAUGAUUAAAACAGGUUCAUCUUCGAGAGUCUACUAUCCAUGUGAACUUCUAUUCAUGGAUUCAAUUGCGAUCCUCUUAGACAUUAAACGGUAAGAUGAAGAACAUGAAACCACCACUUCUCUUAUUAUUCCUCUUCAUCUCCGUCCUGCUCGAAGCACUCGGAGUCUCAGUCAUCGGCGACAAUGUUGGCGCAUACUUGCUUGUUAAUGAUAUCACCGUCAACUGUGGCUCCCUCGGCAACUCCUCCGUGUCCAAGGGGACUUGGAUCGGGGACAGCGAGGAUGGUUCGACCUACUUUCCAAUCGAUGAAACUCAUUCCUCUAUCGUUGCAAGUGCAAACCGUUCAUCUCCCCCUGUCCACAACCGCAUCCCACACGACACUGCUCGUCUCUCCCUCUCAGAAUUCGUCUACACCUUUCGCGGGGGCCAAAAUUGGUUCGCCUCCACUUCUUCGCUUCGGAUUACCUCAACUUUGGCCAUGACGAUUCAUUCUUCUCGGUCAAGGCUGCUGGCUACACUCAGCUCCGCAACUUCAGCGCUUUCCUCUUUUCCGAUCACACCGGCUUCACGACCUUCCGCAAAGAGUCCUACUUAACCUAGUAGCUGACCAGAUAUUGAACGUCACGUUUGCUCCCACUCCUGGUAACCCAGACGUGUAUGCUUUUGUGAAUGGAAUUGAAGUUAUUUCCAAAUUGUUACGAUUUUGCGAUGUCACUAAGCGCAAAACGUCUUUAAUUACCAACUUUUAUGACCGUUUGUCAUGGAAAAGAAGAAAUUGUCAUAAAUUGAGAAUUUCUUUACAGAGAGUAAUGACGUCAUGACAAGAGCAAAACGUCCAAAAUUAGGAUUUCAAAUACAAUUAUUUACAAAGGGUUAUGUUUGUUUGCCCCAAAUAAGGAUAAAAUGUCAUAAUCUUGUAUUUUUUUCCUUCAACUACAACGCUUUGCGAAACUAACCAUGAACAAAAUGUUGCAAAUUUUAAAAUUUUUUAAUUACAAUGAUUUAAAAAAAUGUCAACAUUCCAUUGUAACCAAAAACUUGACAUUGUGAAUUUAAAUCCUUUCAAACUACGAUGGCUUAUAAAGGUUUGCAACAAUCAAUGUAACUAACAAUAUAACCUCAUAAAACUUUAUUAAAUUUGAUUUUUACUGUGCCAUGAUGUCAAUAUUCUAUGGGUCUGUCACUCAUUUGCUAGUGCUUAAAGUAUUGUAAAUUUUUCGACAAAAAAAAAGUAUCGUAAAUUUCAUUUUAGUAUGUCGGAUGUACAUUUUUUAGUAUCAGACAUCUAACUUUCGACAGUUGGGAUCCUUCCAUCUUAAUCUAAUGGUUGACAUUUAUGGGGUACGAUAUAAGAUUAAAAUCUUAGAAGUCUCUGACUAAGCAUCAAUAGAUUUAUCCGUAUACGAGACGUCAAUAAAGCGUUUGAUUAUAUUUCUGUUACAUAAAUAAUUUUACUCCUUGAAAGGACAAAAGUUGAAAAUGGAAGGACGCGAUAUAGAAAACACGGUUUGGUGGCGGUCCCUUUUUUUUUUUUUUUUUGAACAGGUGUUGUGGUCCCUUGAGAGAGAGCAUUCUUGCAUGGGACCUGGCAGUCGUACCGCUGACCUGACGUGACCUUCCUAAGGCAAUUGAACCUUCCACGAAAAGCGCACCUGGAAGGGCACAAAUCCCGUCCGCUGAUUUUCUUGUGAUCGGCGAGGGCUCUAUCCCCUUGCAGAUAUCUUAGCGACGACUUUGGUCUUCCCCUAAUCUCGUCGCUAGUGCCGGCCUUCUCUUCCGCUCUUCUUCCUAAUUCCCCGUUAGUCAAAACUUUUCAUCUCCGAGACCUCGCUCUCCUUGUGAUUUUCAUCGAUUCGUCUGCGACCCUUUGUCGUCGAGCAGCGAGAUGAAGAACAUGAAACCACCACUUCUACUAUUCAUCUUCAUCUCGGUCUCGCUCGAAGCACUCCCGAUCUCAGUCACUGGCAACAACGUUGACGCUUACCGGCCGACCGAUGAUAUUGCCGUCGACUGCGGCUCCUCCACCAGCUCCACUGUGGAGAACCGGAAUUGGAUUGGAGACGCCGCCAACCGUUCGGACUACUCUCCAAUUGGGAAAACUCACUCCUCUAUCACUACACAGGCAAACAUUUCAUCUCCCAGAGUCCCUGGCACCGCCCCAUACCUCACGGCUCGCCUCUCCCGCUCCGAGUUCGUCUACACCUUCCACGUCACCGCAGGGCCCAAAUUCGUUCGCCUACACUUCUUCCCUUCGGAUUACCCCAACUUCCGCCGUGUUGAUUCCUUCUUCUCAGUCGAGGCCGCUGGCUACACCCUGCUCCGCAGCUUCAGCGCUUCCCUCUUUGCUGAUUCCACCCCCUCCGCGGGCUUCUUCUCUAAAGAGUUCAGCUUAAAUGUCGGAGAGGACCAGAUAUUGAUCAUAACGUUCACUCCCACUCCUGGUAAUUCAGACGCGUAUGCUUUCGUGAAUGGAAUCGAAGUCGUUUCCAUGCCCGAAAGUCUCUACUACAACACCGUCGUCGACUCAACCGAGGGAAUCAAGUUGCCAGGUCAGCUGGUGCCAUACACCUUGGAUACCACUAAAGUUCUCGAAGCGGUGAAGCGCUUGAACGUGGGAGGACAGUUUGUCGGUCCAGCUCAUGACACAGGAAUGUACAGGACCUGGGAAGCAGAUGACGAGUACGUGACUUCCUCGGACAUCGGAGUUUUGCCAGUUAACAUAAGUAUCCAACUCAAUUACGGUGAGCAAGUGCCAAAUUACACGGCUCCAGAUCCCGUAUACACUACUGCAAGGACCAUGGGAACGGACAAAAGUAUCAAUCUGAGCUACAACCUCACGUGGUCCGUCGAGGUGGAGACGAACUUCUAUUACUUGGUCCGGUUACACUUUUGCGAAUUCCAGAUAGAGAUAAAUGAGCCCUUAGACAGGGUUUUCAAGAUUUUUCUAGAUUCACAAUUGGUCGAGGACCAUGCGGAUGUCAUUAGUUGGAGCGGGAAGGGCGUGCCCAUCUAUAGAGAUUUUGCAGUAGCCCUCCUGGAUCACAGCCAAAAGAAAAGAACCAACCUCUCCGUCGCGUUGGGCGCACUUCCAGAUGGUUCUACUCUUUACUCUGAUGCCAUCUUGAAUGGCCUCGAGAUUUUCAAGAUCAGCGAUCCAGACGGGAAUCUCGUAGGGCUGAACCCGGAUCUGGUCCCGAAUAAAGUGCCAGGACCUCCACUGGCAAGCAAGGCACCGUCGAGCCUCAGCAAAGCAGUAAAAAUUGCCAUCGUUGCUGGUGGAACUUCGGGCUUCACCAUACUCUCUCUCCUGGCUUUCUUCCUUUACCGGCGACGAAACAGAGGUAAGGAUUCGACCUCGAGCAACGGCACCACAUGGUGGGGCCCGGUCUCCUACGUGAUGACCAAGUCAACGAAGACCCAGGGGUCGUCCCUGUCGUCCGAUUUGUGCCGCCACUUCUCGCUGGCGGAGAUCAGAGCGGCCACGAACAACUUCGACAAGGUGUUUAUCAUCGGCGUGGGUGGGUUCGGCAACGUGUACAAGGGCUACGUCGAUGGCGGGGCCACCCAAGUGGCGAUCAAGCGGCUCAACCAGGGAUCGCAGCAGGGCCUUCAUGAGUUCAGGACCGAGAUCGAGAUGCUCUCGCAGCUCCGGCACCUCCACCUGGUCUCCCUGAUUGGGUUCUGCGAGGACGCGGGAGAGAUGAUCCUCGUGUACGACUACAUGGCACGCGGGACUCUCAGCAGCCAUCUCUACAACACCGAUAAUCCCCCACUCCCCUGGAAGCAGCGGCUCGAGAUCUGCAUAGGCGCCGCGUGGGGGCUCCACUACCUCCACAGCGGUGCCAAGCACACCAUCAUACAUCGCGACGUGAAGACGACCAACAUCCUGCUCAACGAGAAGUGGGUUGCCAAGGUGUCCGACUUUGGGCUCUCGAAGGUCGGAACCACGAGCGAGUCUAAGACGCACGUCAGCACGGCCGUGAAGGGCACCUUCGGGUACCUGGACCCGGAGUACUACAGGCGCCAGCGACUGACUGACAAGUCCGACGUCUAUUCCUUCGGCGUGGUGCUGUUCGAAGUGCUGUGCGCAAGGCCUGCCGUGAGCCGGAUGGCCCCGAUGGAGCAGAUCAGCCUGGCUGAGUGGGCCCAGAGUUGUUGUAAGAGCGGGUCCGUCGAAGAAAUGGUGGACCCGCACCUGAAGGGGGCUAUCGCCCUCGAGUGCCUCAACAAGUUCUGCGAGAUCGCUAUGAGCUGCUUGCAGGACGAGGGGGCCAAGCGGCCAUCCAUGAACGACGUUGUGUGGGGCCUCAAUUUCGCACUGCAGCUACAGGUGAGCACAGAGCUGGAAGUGAAGGAUCAUGCGGGUGUGUCAGUGCAUGAUAGCGAUGACAGCGACCAUGACGCAGCUUCGAUCAGAGGUAGCGGCAGCGAUGAGGCGAUCAACACUAGUGAUAGCGAUAGUGGUGGUUGGAAGAGCAGUAGGGAAACUGCGACGUCGACCAGAGCCGGAAGCAAUGAUGUUUGUGAUGAGAGUAUGACUAGUCAUGACUGAGAGAAGUUGCCUUGAGAAAAUAUUAGGUGCUCAAGUGUGACGCUCAAAACGUUAUUUGACACGUGUUUCUUAUAUUAUUACUCUCUUUUAACAUAUGAAAGCGUAAUUAAAUAUUUACUAUUAUUUUCUUAACAAUUAAAGGCCUUACAAGUAUAAUCAUCAUAUUGAUGCCUCUUUUGUUUAUACCACAUUUGAGGUCAUAAUCUUAUUAUAUUACGAGCAAACAAACAAAAAUUUGGAUAGGGGUGGGGAGACCUAUAUUAUACAAUACUUCUAAAAGUCUGCCUAUAUAAACGUAGUCUCGGAUCGAUAACUUCUCCAUUUGUUGUGUCUCCAUCGCCAAGUCUUGUUACUGGGAAAUGAAUUGAAAAGGAACUCACUCUAGCAAACCUCCUACAUCAACCCACAUAAUAGAACUACACUUGAAAUAUAUUAUUCCAUAUUUUGAUUCAAACAUAUUUCAUAAAGACCUUCAUAAUUCAUAGACUUUAUAGCGUAAAGGUCGAAAGGUGUUCAUUCUACAUGUUUGAAAAAUAAAAAGAAUGAGCCAAAACCAAAUAAAUGAAAUUUCUAGUUUUAAGUUAAAAGAAUUCUCUUACCACUUCAUCUGAUAUACACAAAGUGAAUGCAUAAUCAUCCGAUAAGUGUGAUAAAAAUAUAAGUAGGCUUUACCUUUUCCAUUUUCAUUUACCAUAGAAAUUGUUAACCAACAAUACAUCCAUUUAGACUCAUGCAUAUGCACGCUAUGUUUCACAUAAACAAACAAACAAUAUAAAUAAUAUUUGAUUCUACACAUGAUAAUGCAUUUUAUUCAUUAAUAUUUCCUCCUCUCGAACUUUCCUAUGCAUCCCAACUAUUAGGACAUCUCAAUUUCGAGGUAUUCUACAAACUUCCACCACAGAAUGUCCCCACCAUAGGGCGUCUCAACUCCGUAGACAUUUCGAAACACUCUUCCGGACAUCCCAACUGGACAUCCCGCAAACUACCAUCAUGGGGCAUCGUCACGCACCACUAUAUGAGUGACGGAAUCACAUUAAUAUUAUUUAAAGCCAUAAAAUAUAUAUACUUACAAGCAUAUCACACAUAUCUCAACUCAAUUUAAUACAUUAAACAAAUAAUCGUAAAUGAAAUAACAUAUAGCCCAUACUUUGGUCAUUAAAGUUUGGAGAUCCAAAUGAGUACAUUUUAAAUUUGGCCAUUAGCGAGAUCCGAAUGAAUAAAUAUACUCUGGAAAUAAAGUUUGAACAUGUAAAUGGGUACAUUUUGAGUUAGAAUAACAAGUGCAUUAUGGUCGUAAAGUCUGAAUAAUCAAAAAGGUAAAUUCUGGCUUAAUAGAAGCUUCUAGAACAAAAGAACAAAUUCAAUAAUGAAUGGAUUUACAAAUGAAUAGAAUCAACAAAUAAAUAGAUUCGACAAAGAAUAGAUUUAUAUUUAGUAAAGUUUGUCUGAAUCAAUGGAUAGAUUUAUUAAAAAAACCGAUUCACAUGUUGGCAGAUUCAAUAAGAAAUAGAUUCAUACUCAGUAAAGUUUGUCUAAACCAAUAAACAAAUUUAUCAACGAACAUAUUCACAAGUUGGCAAAUUUAACAAGGAAUAGAUUCAUACCCAUUUAAAGUCUGUUUGAACUAAUAAACAUAUUUAUGAAUGAAUAGAUUCAUAGAUUGGCAUAUUCAAUAGGUGAACAGAUUCGACCAAAUGAGUAGAUUCACAAAAGGCGGAUUCACAAAUGGACAGAUUCUGUCAUAGGAAAUUCUAGCAAAAACAAGUAGAAUGAACAUAUUCUGACUAGUAAAAUUCUAGCAGAACAAAAUAGAGGGAAUAUGCAAGAGGUUAUCAAAAUAAAUAUGACAAAACGAAUUGCUUUUGACUAUGCAGAACGAAACAAAAUGAAGAAGAAUGAAUGUGUAAUGGGUCAUUGAGAUAAAUAUGGUAGAACGACCAAAUUUUAAUUACCUAGAAUGUAGUAGAAAGAAGCAAAACGAACAUGUAAUGACUCAUGAAAAUAAAUAUGGCAGAACGACCAAAUUCUGACUACCUAGAACGAAGUAGGAAGAAGCAAAAUGAAUCAUCAAGAUAAAUAUGAUAGAACGACCAUAUUCUGAUUAUCUAAAAUGAAGCAGAAAGAAACAUAAUGAACAUACAAUAGGUCAUCAAGAUAAAUGUAGUAGAACAAUCAUAUUUUGACUACUUAGAAUGAAGUAGAAAGAAACAGAACAAACCUUUGGAAACUGAAUGAUGUACCAUGUAGGGCUAUGUAGCGAUUUUUGGCUAAAUAAUCAUUGAUAAGUCUGCAUGAUUGUGUUAAUAUUCGGUAGAAGGUACAAAUCCUUCACUAUCUUAGAUUCAAUGGCAAUCAAAGAGCUUUAACUUAGUGCAGAGUUUCAGCUUUCAUCUCUUUAUGAAUCCAUCUUGAGGCUAUUUGGAAAUUGAAAACCUCUGCAAAUUGCAGACUUUGGUAUAUGAGGGCAUUAAAUGCCCUCUUACAAGCUACUGAAGAUGCUUCUGCAGCUUAUUCUUAGGCGGACUUGCAGUUUUCAAACAGUAAUAUUUAUCAAAGUUGUGUGAAUUUUUGAAAGAAAUUGGACUAUAAUGACGUGGAUGGUAUCUGCAAAAUGAGUCUAAACAUUUGGAGGAUUAUGUACAGAUUUGGCUCUCUAAGUUUAGGCAUUUGUGUGAUUUGAUCUUCUAUUUUUUAUGUUGUGCAAUUAAGUCCUCUUUAACUUUUUUGAUUUGUGCAAUCAGGUGUAUUGUUUACUUGUUGUAAGUAAUGCUGUCACACUAUGAUUUCCUUUUUAGUCGUUUUUCCUAUUUGCUUUCUGCUCAUUUGGAAGCAAAUUAGCAUCACCUUUUAUUUUUGUCGCAUAAACAAUGUCACGUCAUUGAUUAAUUCGUUGGUUUAGUCGAAGUGGUUGACUGAAGGAUUUGAUUACAUAAAUUCAAAAAGUUGAAGGACUUGAUUGUACAAAAUAAAACUUGAAGGACCCAAUUUGCACAAAUGUAGAAAGUUAGAGGACUUGAUUUAACAAAAUAAAAAUUAGAGGAUCAAAUCGCAUAAAUGCUAGAACUUAAGGACCAUAAUAUGCACUUUACCCAACAUUUUUACUAUGAAUUACCUGUGGCCGUGCCUCGUCCGUGUCAGGCCGAGGCAAAUUAUGUCCGGGUCUGGUUUGUAUUUUCCAUUCUUUUAUUAAAUCUAAUAUCUUCUCAAUAGAGGCAACAAUCAAGACCCUUUUCGCUAAUUGGCCUUGCCCGGGACAGGCCGUGUAGGCCUUGCUGGGACCAUGGCGGUGGGCUGGUCAUUCCUAAUCCGGACAUUUGUUUAGCACGAUACAAGGUGUCAUGCCCUCCCCAGUGUGAUUUACUGCGGUUCUGAACAAGCUUUUCUGUUCCUGGCAAUGUCACAGCCAAAAUUCCCUUCCAUCUUGUGUAACUGAGAAAACUGGUAAUGAGUAACAUCUUGAGCAUGUUCUCUUUGAAAACUCAGGCACACGAUGCAUAAAUCCGGCUGUCAAACACCUAAAAAAGGUUUGAACUACAAUUCGGGCCCACGAUGCAUAAAUCCGGCCGUCAAACACCAAAAAAAAAAAAAAAAAAAAAGGGUUUGAACUACAUAGAGCAUGUAAUCUAGUGUCGUAGACAUCAAUGCCAGAACUGAGCGUAUGCUCCCUCUUCCUGUGACCGAGAAGAGACUUCCUUGUCAAUAGACGGGACAUGAAAGCCUCCGGUAUGUGCACAUUGGCGGCACGAAUACACCAUUUGAAUGAUUGUUAUGAAAGCCCCCAGCUUCAGAGCUACUUUAUUCUUCCGGUUUUGAGACGGCAUGCUGUAAAGACUCGAAAUGUCGGUAUGCCCUUUCCACUAUGUUUGGCCGAUAUCGUGCAAAAAAUCAACCAAAGAACAGUUUAAUAUAUACGCACCAGGUUGUCAUUCAUUUUCUCGGAAGUUAACGAAGCCUUUGUAGUGUCCUGGUUGGCACCUUUAGUGUGAAAACAUAUUUUAAUAGACUAAGGCUAUGCCAGCCACGCUAAGCGGAGAAGGGUCCAUUUAUGUCAUAAUCUUUAGGACUGGAGAUGGAUUUCACUUAGUUGUAUGAAAACCAUUUGAAAAGUUUGUUGAUCUUUGGCUCAUCCAAGGAAUUUGCCGUGCAUCAUCAGGAUUGAGAAAAGAUGGGACUUCCCUUGACCGAACUAUUUGCUCCUUGCAGUUCAGUCCAUCAACAAAUGCAACCGGAGGAGGUGAGCGAUCCUUCGACUCAGCAACAGUUUCAGCUCCAGCAGAAUAUAUAAACCAGUCCGAUUAAUCUGAUGUAGACUGUACAAUUCCAGCCCCAAAAUUAGUAGACGAUGCCACUUCACGCAAGCGAACCAAAGUUUUGGGGCUCAGUCUACUCUGCACUCAGAGCAACCAAUUCCCGUGAGCUCUCAGAUUCCAGCCGGUUUCUGGCCAUUGCAUCCUGUCCCAGGCUUUACUACAGGGCCGAUGAAUGCUCCGGCUCAACCCUUUCAUACUGCUGGUUUAGACUAUCCUCAAGUGCCAUUUCAUCCGCAUAACGUGCCUCCGAUGCCUUAAGGGAUAAUAGUUCAAUUGCCACCAUCUGCUCCACCAUCUCCUUGGACAACGGGGUUGUUUGACUGCAUGGAUGACCCUUUAAUUGGUACAGUCGCCUUUUGCUUUUCCUGGGCAAGUUUAUAAUAAAAUCGACCAGUAACACACGGAGAAUCUCCAAGUAUUUCUUGCGUGUUUGCAGUGGUUGUGGCCUGUUGCUUCCCCUGCGUAACAUUCGGCCAGAUAGCCGAGAUUGUUGACUGAGGGAGCACAUGUUAGUAAGGAUGCUUUUACUGACUUUUAAAUCCUUGAUUCUACAUUCUGAGGGAGAGAGCAAUCGGAAUGAGAUUUUUUAUGCACUUCAGCAUAUGAGAAGAAAGGGUCUCAUUGAACUAAUGCGGUUGAGAAUGAUGUUUGCUUUGCAGCAUGUGGAACGAGCGGGCUACUUACGGUGGGAUCCAGUUUCUCAUCGGUUGCCCGUGCUUAUUGUCCUGCACUUGCUGAACCAAGCUCCGGAACUGAUUCAACCUCAUCGAGUCCCCUGCUCCUGACUGGAUCACUCACUUCUUUUGCGAAUGCUGUGCUCUUUCUGAGGGAUACAGAGAGCCUAAGAACAGAGGACUUGACCCUUCCAUAGGCAAAACUGAUGUCGAAUAUAGCCAUUUGAGCUCCAAACGGACACUUAAUAAGCCAACUUAUUGCAAAUAUGGCACUACAAUACUGUCAUUAUGGUUUGAUUACCGUCACCAACCAAGAAAACUCUGCAUUUUCAGCUUUGUUUUCAGCAAGAAAUUGCUGAUGUUUAUUCUUGUUGCUUGCCAAGAUUGGCAGGGGAAUGCGGCAAACAUGCAGAAUGUGUAGUAUCAGGUUGUUAUGGUGCCUCCAAUGCAUUAGCAAGCCAUGAGAGCUUGACGAGGAACAUCACAUCGGAUCCAUCAGUGACUCAGAUCUUCCUCGUAUGUAGUCACCAAUGAGUCCAAGAAAGCGAAUGCCAAUGGAAUUAUGAAGUUUCAAUUUGCAGAUAUGAAUAACAUAUUUCUUUCUAAAAGUUUCCAUCGAUUUGAGGAACAAAUUGAAAUAAAAUUGUCGAAGAAUAUCUUACAAUAGUCCAACAACUGAUUUGCUUCUGUGCUGUAUCGUUGUUGCAUCUUGAAACAUUACUUUCUUUUCCACCAGUUAGUUUCAGACUCAUAUCUAGGAUCAUGCCACUGUUCACAAUUCUGUGACAUCCAUCAAAUCCAUAACAUCAGCUGUUUUCAGCGGCAUGAUUUUUUGGAGGUGCUCGGUUCACUAGUCGUUUCUUUGGAUUAAGCUUUCCGAACUAUGUGCUUUCUUAAUUCAACCGAGAAGGAAGGCUCCCAUCUAGAUGUGAGAGGAUGACCACUGUGAGGUGAUCGCAGCUACCACAAGAGAUACACGAUGUGAGAUGGAUGGCCUCUCGUCGACUACAACACGGUGGUUGCCAUCUCUCUCUUGCACACGCACGCGGCUCUCAGCCUAUUUGGCACCAUAUUAGCUGCAUAAGAGCCACGUGAGCCAAUGAAAAUUAAUGUAACACAUGUACGCUGAUUGUCCAGCUACUAUUCCAACGUGCUCCUCAGCACUAUGUAUAGAGCUUUUCAACCGGAAGGCCGACUGCAAACACAUUUUACAAAAAAAAAUUGUCUACCUUGUCUGGGUUCUCAAGUACUCAUUUUGGGGUUUGGCCCAUGUCUAGAAUAGGUCGAGUCGUCAUAGCAUGUCUCCUUUUGAUAGAUCUACGGUUUGUGGAUGGAAUAGGCUCAUACCCAAUCCAACAAGGCUAAGGAGUAUUGCUCAAGUGAGAGGGAUUGGACAAGGUACUACUCUUGGUAGACUUUUAAGAUAGCAAAUGGUGCAAGGAAAUGCCACGACAAUGCAGAAUGUGCAGUAUCUGGUUGCUAUGAAGCCUCCAACUUUAUAGAUUUUCUUAUUUACUUUCUUUUUUCUUUCUUUCCUUUUCUGUCCUACUAUUCAUGUUUUUCUUUGGGUGUUAAUCCAAUGUCCCCACCCCAUGGCUACAACAUUUACAAGAGCCAAUUCACUAUGCUACUAUGGGUGGAGUUUUUUCUGUUCUUCAUCUUCGUUUUCAGUAAAGACAGAGAAUUGAUUUGACAAUAGUAAUAAUAAAAAGUCAUUGAUGUUGUAAUGGCUGGCUUUUGACUUAGUCAAUAUUAACUAGUAAAAGGAAAAAAAAAAAGUGGACUCAAGAAAAUGUAUACACGUUCAAAAGAGGCAAAUAAAGAAAAUAAGAGAAAAUAAGAGAAACAAAGGCGAAAAUGUAGGAAGAAAAAGGAAAAGGAAGAAGAGUACAUGCCAUGGCGCCUCGUCAAGUUAGAUUAACUUUAUCUUGCAACGCCCAAUUAAUCUUAUCAGAGAUUUUUGAAAUAGAGCCCUAAUUUUGAAUCCUUGUGAAUUUUAAGCCAGUAGGUUAAUUCUAUGAGUUGUUAAACUGAGAAAUUAUGGGGCAUUAAUAGUUUAGGGUAUUGUAAAACUAUAGGAUUUUACAUAACUCGAUUCAAGCUUAUAGUUUGCCCGAAAUAAAAUUUUGAAAUUAUGCGCACAUGCUGUAACAUUAGCGAAUUUCCUAGUUUACCAAUGAUUAUGGCCAUUCUUAAGCUAUCUUUAGAGUUGGCAAAACUUAGGGAAUCUAAUUAUCUCGAAAGGUCUUUCAUUAGAGAGAAGAUUUGCUAAAAUCAUGGUUCAAUGAAGAGAGUUGUGGUGCAAAAAAAUUGUGACACGCAAGCUAGGCAUAGCAGACACUUUUGAAUGACUACUACAACAAGCCUUUCAUUGUUGUGUAGGAGUCGAUUGGUUGACGAACAGGCGUAGUUUAGAUCAUCAGUUAAAGUAGUGUUUUGCUUUGUCUUGACAUCAAUUCUCAUUUAAUUGAUAGAAUAUUGUCGACUCAAAUAGCUACAUUAUUUGGCUUUGAGUAUUUCUAACUGAGUGUUGUUGAUUUCUUUUAUAGUAUUAUAAAAUCCAUGUCUUAAAAUAAUAGUUAAUUUGAUAUUAUAUAUGUGUUUAUGUAUAUAUAUGUGUGUAUUGAACAAAGAAGAACAUAAUUGUUGCAUAAAACUAGAUCGAGUGUUUAUUAUGUUUUAGUUAUUGUAAGAUGGUCUGAUAAACUUUUCUUGAAUGGUCAUGUGUAUUAUUUCGUAAAAAUACUUAUGAGAUAAAUUUUGAAAAGAUUAGAGAAAUACUUUACAGAAAGGGAUUUUGAUUGAUGAAUUGAGUUGCGAAAGAUUAGAUAAUUUGGUUUAUGAUAUAGAGGUUGGAUAGGUUUGGUGGAUUUUGGAGGAUAAUGUUGUGAGUUUGUGUUGAUGCUCAUCAUCUCUGGGAACUCAUUUGAGGGGUUUGUAAGUAUGUAUACUAGUUUUAGGAUAUCUUUAUGGGUUGGCUACUAGAAAUAUAAGUAGACACCUAGUCAAGUAGAGAAUCUUAGUCGCCUUUAUCAUAAGGCAUUGAGCGUGAUGGACCAUUGACAUAUGAUUUAAUGAGAUUGAUUAGUGGACUGAACCAUUAAUACUUAUUUUGAUAUUAUUAUGUUGAAGUAAUAUAGUUCAUUUUCAUCUUGUAAAUUUGUUAUAUAUCGGAUUUAGUGUAAAUGAGUUACCUUUUUGUGUCCUAAACAUUCACAGUGGAUCCCUGAUUUGUUUAGAAGAGAUUUGUACUACUCAUUGGCCUAUAAUUGCCCAUUCCAUUUAUCUUACUUCUAUUUUUAGGUUCUUCAGGUAGCCGUAAAUAGGACAAGAGUGUUUACAUUUUGAUAGUGGGAUUUUUUUUUUUUUUUUUAUGAGUUGUUUAUGUCUGCAUUGAACUAUGAGUUUUGUUAGUUGCAGAUAUAUAUGUGUUUUUUUUAUGGAUUAUGGAAACUCUAAUCUUGUAAACAAACGACACUUUAUCAAAUAUAUGGAUGUAUAUAUAUUCCAAUAUCAAGUUGAGUUAUAGUUACGUUUAAAGCUACAUUAUUUGGAUGAAAUGACAACCGUGUCAUCCCUUAUACUUGUUGGAGUCGGGUGUGUGACAAAUGUUAUAAAGUUGAGAUUGGUAUUUUAGAUCUUAAUUGUGUGAAGUAUAGAAUUUUCCUUUCAUCGUGCCUCUGCCGCUGCUUCAAUUUUCACUUGAGGCCUGCCUUUAUCCUGCGCCACAACCACUGCUUGAAUUGUUACAAAGAGCAACUACCUUAAUACGCCAAAUCGUGGCGAAAUCGGGUGGGAAUUCGUUCGAUUCUGAUAAAUCUUCACCAUUUGCCUUGGUUUCUUGCGCCUCCAUGCAGAUUGACGCCAGCCGCAGCAAAAUGGGCUUGGCCGGGAUCACUGGGAAUUUAUGAGACUGGUUCGCUUGGGCCAGCUUUGGCACUAUUCACCGGAAAUUUGAGCAUUAUCGGGCUGAUUAUCGAGACGUGCUUGUUAGCACUGCCAUUAGAUCUACCAAAUGAGAAUUCUUUUCCGUAAUCCAUGGAGGAGCACCGGCAGCCACGCCACCAGCUCAGCUCCAACUCUAGACAAAUCAGCUUUCUUACGAUGAUUUACCAUGUUUCCCAAAGAGAUUUGGGUUUAACAGUAGUACUUCAACUUGACUUCAGAAAAAUCAGUUUUCUUGCAACGAUUUACCAUGUUUCCCUGUGAGAUUCAGGAUGAGAAAGAAGAAAGAACAAAACAAAUCAGAAAAAUCACAAAAGUAUUUAAAAUCAUGUUAUUUCAAUUCAGUUUGUCCAAAUCAUAUGAUCAGUCAUGUUACUAAAGAUGGUGAGAGAUGAUUGGAUUGGUAUGUCAACAUUUUCGGAUAAAAUUAACCAAAAAGAAUAUCUUGGAGUAUAAAAAAAAAUUAAAUUGAAAAAGUCUAAGAUUAUAUCGGAAUUUGUUAAUUUAGGACUAAAUUGGUAAUUUUCCCCAUCUUAUCUAAUCUUUCCUUCCCUCGCUUUUUCCUAGCUCUUUCCUAAAUCCCGAUGAUUAAAACAGGUUCAUCUUCGAGAGUCUACUAUCCAUGUGAACUUCUAUUCAUGGAUUCAAUUGCGAUCGUCUCAGACAUUAAACGGUAAGAUGAAGAACAUGAAACCACCACUUCUCUUAUUAUUCCUCUUCAUCUCCGUCCUGCUCGAAGCACUCAUGGUCUCAGUCACUGGUGACAAUGUUGGUGCAUACUUGCCGGUUAAUGAUAUCGCCAUCAACUGCAGCUCCCUCGGCAACUCCUCUGUGUCCAAGCAGACUUGGAUCAGGGACGCCGAGGAUGGUUCGACCUACUUUCCAAUCGAUGAAACUCAUUCCUCUAUCGUUGCAAGUGCAAACCGGUCAUCUUCCCCUGUCCACAACCGCAUCCCACACGACACUGCUCGUCUCUCCCGCUCAGAAUUCGUCUACACCUUUCGCGUCACCAUGGGGCCCAAAUUCGUUUGCCUCCACUUCCUCCCUUCGGAUUACCUCAACUCCGGGACGAUUCAUUCUUCUCGGUCAAGGCUGCCGGCUACACUCAGCUCCGCAACUUCAUCUGCAAAGAGUCCUGCUUAACCAUCGUAGCUGACCAGAUAUUGAACGUCACGUUUGCUCCCACUCCUGAUAACCCAGACGUGUACGCUUUCGUGAAUGGAAUCGAAGUUGUUUCCAAAGUGUUACGAUUUUGCGACGUCACUAAGUGCAAAACAUCUUAAAUUUACCAACUUUUAUGACCGUUUGUCAUGGAAAAGAAGAAAUUGUCAUAAGUUGAGGAUUUCUUUACAGAGAGUGAUGACGUCAUGACAAGAGCAAAACGUCCAAGAUUAGGAUGUUUUUCCAAAUACAACUAUUUACAAAGGGUUAUGUGUGGCAUCCUAGAAAUUCAAAGCCAAGCCAUAAGGUGUGUUAAAGUCUUUAAUUAGGUGAUAGAAUUUCCAUGGCUUAUGUUUUAGCCAUUAGUCUUUUAAUUUGAUGAUUUGUGCUUGUGAUUGUGGAAAUUUAAAUUUGAUAGAUUAAUAAUUUAUGCUUGGCCAUGUGCUUAAUAAAUUAAAUUUCAAUAACCAAGAUGUCCCAAGACUUUGGCCAAGAUAAAAUUUGAAUUUGGAAAUAUUUAUAGAAGAAUUUCAAAAAAAAAAGAAGGGAAAAAGAGGUUAAAAUUUGAUUGGGCCUUAAGCCCAAGAGUGGAACCCUAAUGGGCCAAGCUAGUCAGCCCAAGAGGGAGUUCGACCGGCCCAUUAGAGCCCACAAGGAGGCUGUCGACCAGCCCAAGGAGGAGUGGCCGGAUGGCCCAAGCCCAAGCCCAACUCCAAGGCCCAUCUUGCAUGGAUCAAGACAAGUGGCAAGGAGAAGGCCAUGCAUUGGCCAUUGGUUGAGGCAAAUCAAUCAUUACUAAUGAUGAGCUUUAGGGGAAAUAAAAGGGGAGAAGAGAGAGAAGGUGGCCGGUUUUGCUUGAUUCGGCCGAGAGAGAGGGAGAGAGAGAGAGAGAAAUCGCGAGAGAGAGGGAGAGACCGAGAGGGAGAGGAGGCAGAGCCGAGGAGGAGCUGCCAUGUCUCGCCGUCCGUUCGCCGUACGCCGUCGUUUGUUCAUCCUAGAGGCAAGUGGAGUCCUCUAAAUUCUCUUGCAUGUGUGUAUAUGGUUUGCAUGUUCGAUUUUGGGUGUUAUUUGUGAGAAAAACCGAGGUAAGGGUUGGUUGUUUUCAAGCCGUGUGACUGUUCUUGCUCGGGUUGUAGGAGUCAGUAACUUGUUUGAGCUUGAAUGUGUGUUUGGAGUCCGAUUUUGGAUUCGAUGUCUUCAUGGAAGUUUUAGCUAACAUAUCUUAGUAUAACAUACUGAAAUUUCGUGGAAAAUUAUGGAGAUAUGAGGGGUCAAAGUCCUAUUCUACGGAGACCCCAGAUCUGUGAAGUUUUCACUGACCUCUUGUUGAAUUCUUGGUUGCAUGUUGGUUUGUGAUGAAAAUAUGACUUUGAUGUCUUCAUGAAAGUUGUAGGUAACAUCUUAAAAUACAACAUACUCAAAUUUUAAGGGAUAUGAACAAGUAUAGCCUAGUAAAUCGGCUAGAUCUUGGAGACGAUGAUUCUGGUGAUGUGUUCCGAGACACCCGAGACUUCAUAGACUUAAAUGGUGACCAUAAUUUGGUUAUUUGACCUAGAUCUCUUCAUGAAACUUGUAAAGGACACUUUGAUACAUAACAUAUCCAAAUUUCAGAGGAAACAAAAGAGAAUAGAUGGGUGAAAUCUUAAUAUUUCGGAGAUGUGUAUUCUGGACGAUGCGGUAGUGGUUCCAGAAGCUUCGUGAGGUCGUGUAAAAUAAUAUAAAAAGAAUCUGGCCUGGAGUUUUUCAUGAAAGUUGUGCGAAAAUGUCUUGGCUAUCACGCUGUAAAAUUUCGUAAUUUUUGGAGGCCAUAUGGAUAUUUUAAUCGAAUUUAUUCAGAAACUGUGCAUUCUGGUUGUUAUCCGAAUAUUAUGUGCUAUUUAGUGGAACUUGUGAAAUUGUGUGAAAUUCAAGUUGGCCAUGAAUUUUGCAUGCAAUUGUCAUUCUAUUGGUUUGAUUAAUGAUUGUUUGAAUUUUAUGAUUUUGGGAAAAUCAUAGAUAUUGAAUUUAAUAUUUAUUUAUGGAAAUAAAUAAAUAAGAUAAUAAAAAUAAUAAUAAAAUAAUCAAAAUAAAAUAAAAUGGAUUAUUUUAUUGGCCAUAAAUUCCAUUGAAUUUAUUUAUAAAUAAAUAUGCAUUGUUGCAUGUAUGAUAAGACAUUGGUAUAUGUAUGACCAUGAAUUGUGAUGCAUGUGUGAAUCAUAUGCCAUGUUAAAUGAGAUUAAAGCAAUGAUAAAUGUGGAUAAUGAUAAGUGAGUAAGUGGUUGUGGUGGAGGAUGAGGCCGGAAUGUACAGAGAUGCAUUGUCGGAAUUCCCUGGGAGAUUCAGGAUGCCCGGAAUGUGGGGGGCCGGAAGCCUUGUCGGAGGUCUUUACCCGAAAGGAAUGUCUCACGAUGCUAGAAUUGGGGUGCGAGAUGCCUGGCUAGAAAGGGUAAAGGCCGGAAGCCCUGUCGGAGGUUUCUGCCCGAAGGGAAUGCCUCGUGAUGCUAGUUGAGAUGCGAGAUGCCCGGAAUGUGGGGGGCCGGAAGCCCGGUGGCCAUGGGAUGGCUGGAAUGCUGGGAACCCUAUCGGAGGUCUUUGCCCGAAGGGAUGAUGAAAUUGAUGAUAUGAGAAAUGGGUGAUGUGGUGAUCAAACUUAAAGAUAAAAGAUGAAAAAUGAACCCAUGAUAUGAUAUGCAUGAUGAUAUGCAUGAUGAUGAUGAUGAUGAUGAUGAUGAUGAUAUGUGAUGUGAUAUGAUGAUCACCCAUGAUAUGAUAUGCAUGAUGAUGAUGAUGAUGAUGAUAUGUGAUGUGAUAUGAUGAUCACCCAUGAUAUGAUAUGCAUGAUGAUGAUGAUGAUGAUGAUGAUGAUGAUGAUGAUGAUGAUGAUGAUGAUGAUGAUGAUGAUGAUGAUGAUAUGUGAUAUGAUAUGAUGAUCACCCAUGAUAUGAUAUGCAUGAUGAUGAUGAUGAUGAUGAUAUGUGAUAUGAUAUGAUGAUCACCCAUGAUAUGAUAUGCAUGAUGAUGAUGAUGAUGAUGAUGAUGAUGAUGAUGAUGAUAUGUGAUGUGAUAUGAUGAUCACCUAUGAUAUGAUAUGCAUGAUGAUGAUGAUGAUGAUGAUGAUAUGUGAUGUGAUAUGAUGAUCACCUAUGAUAUGAUAUGCAUGAUGAUGAUAUGCAUGAUGAUGAUGAUGAUGAUGAUAUGUGAUGUGAUAUGUGACACCCCUCGCCGGCCCCCGAUCCAUUAGGGUCGCCACAGUUCACUCUACCUUUAACUUUCCCUAUUAACAUGUUACUCUGAUACCAUUUCAAUUGCAGCGGGUCCAUACAACUAUAGGGGUUCACACAUUUUUUUUUUCUCUUUUUAACUAAAGGUCCCUUGCACAAUUCAUAUACGGAAGCACGUCCAACAACUCCCUUCCCUAUAUUCAGAAAACAAUGCACACCUACUAAACAUUUAUAGGUAAAUGCUGUACACUUUUUAUUUACUUAAAUCAGAUGGACAUCAUUCAUCGGUACAUCAAAAUGUCAUAGUCUUCUAUAUUCGGCUACACUCCAAAAGAUGACCGAUGUUUCCUCAAACAGUCAUACACUUUAAGUCCAUCGAUCAGUGUCGGCGUUCAAAAGCUCCUUCCUUUGCUAUCCUCCUCCUCAUCCAACCGUUCAAACCCUCUAGUAAUCUGAAAUGUUGGUCCCCAAAAGGGGUGAGUACAACCACUCAGCAGGUAAAGGAAUCCAAUAACCACUCGAUGCAUCAUACAAGUCAUACAUGCAUUGCAAGCAUUACUUACCUUGAAGCCAUGCACAUACUAUCAUGCAUCAUCAUAUCAAUUUAUAACACAUACAUGUGUAUCAUCAUCGUAUCAUACAUGUCAUCAUCAUCAUGACAUCAUUACCUUACACAUGUCAUCAUCAUCAUGGCAUUAUCACAUUACACAUGUCAUAUCAUAUAUCAUCAUCAUUAUCAUCACCAUGCAUAUCAUCAUGCAUAUCAUAUCAUGGGUGAUCAUCAUUAUUUCACAUCACAUAUCAUCAUCAUUACCAUGCAUCCAUGCAUGUAACAUCAUCGCCAUAUCCUCAUAUCACAUGUGCCAUCAUCAUUACCAUGCAUCCAUGCAUGUAACAUCAUCAUCACAUCAUGCAUAUAUCAUCAUGCAUAAUUUAAUUUCAAUUUCAUUUUGAAUUGCCGCAUUUCUCUUCUCCCGGGAUCAAUGUUUGCAUCCCACAUUCAUCACUCGCGCCCAAUCCAGGCAUUGCGAGAACCAUCCGGGCAUGUAUCCAAUAUACAACCGGUCAUCCGGCACCUCCACAUUCCGGGUAUCUCGUAUCCCAACUGACAUCACGAGGCAUCCGGGCAUGCAUCCAAGAUACAACCGGGCAUCCAAAGGGCAUCGACUCAUUCGAACCUUUGGGCAUCUCGCACCCCACCUGGCAUCACGAGGAAUCUCCGGGGCUCGCCAUGAAAAUGGUUACCCCUACCCUCCGGGCAUGCAUCAUGAUACAACCCCUCACCCUCCGAGUAUGUAUCAUAAUACAACCGGGCAUCCCGACACUCCCGGGGAAAACCUCUGGGCAUGUAUUCAUAAUACAACUAGGCAUCCAAAGGGCAUCGAUUCAUUCGAACCUUUGGGCAUCCCGACUCCCGGGGCAUUGUCGGCUCAACCUCCGACGGUAUCAUCAUCACCACGAUGCAUAUUCUCAUACAUCUCAUUUCUCAUCUUCUACAUUUACUAAUAUUUUGAUCUCAAUUUAACACGGCACAUAUCGUGACAUCAAACAAGUCAUACUUGGCAUAGCAUUCACACAUGCAUCACAAUUCAAUGUCAUACAUACACCAAUAUCUCAUCAUACAUGCUACAAUGUAUAAUUAUUUAUUAAUAAAUUCAAUGGAAUUUAUGGCCAAUAAAAUAAUCCAUUUUAUUUUAUUAUUAUUUAUUAUUAUUUUUAAUAAAUAAAUAUUAAAUUCAAUAUCUAUAAAUUCCCAAAAUUAUAAAAAUUCAAGCAACUACAAACCAAUAGAAUUACAUGCAAAAUUCAUGGCCAAAUCGAAUUUCACAAAAUUUCACAAUUUCCACAAAACAGCCCAUAAUAUUCGGAUAAAACCAGAAUGCACAGUUUCCGUAGAAAUUCAAUUAAAAUAUCCAUACGGCCUCCAAAAAUUACGAAAUUUUACUGAGUUAUAGAAAAGACAUUUUUGUACAAAUUUCAUGAAGAACUCCAAGCCAGAUUAUGUUUAGCUUAUUUUAUACAGUCUCACGAAGCUUCUGGAUCCAUUACCGCAUCGUCCAGUGCACACAUCUCCGAAAUACUGAGGUUUCACCUACCUAUUCUCUUUAUUUUUCUCUGAAAUUUUGGUAUGUUAUACAUCAAGAUAUCCUUUACAAGUUUCAUGAAGAGAUCUAUGUCAAAUAACCAGAUUAUAGUCAUCAUUUAGGCCCUUGAAGUCUCGGGUGUCUCGGAACACAUCACCAGAAUCAUCGUCUUCAAGAUCUAGUUGAUUUACCAAGCUAUACUUGUUAUUUUCACUUAAAAUUUUAGUAUGUUGUAUUUUAAGAUGUUCCCUACAACUUUCAUGAAGAAACUGAAGUGAUAUUCUCAACACAAACCAACAUGCAACCACAAAUCCAACCAAAGGUCAGUAAAAUCUUUCCAGAUCUGGGGUCUCCGUAUAAUGAGACUUUAACCCCUAAAAUCUCCAUAAUUUUCCACUAAAUUUCAUUAUGUUGUAGUUUAAGAUGUUAGCUACAACUCUCAUGAAGAUAUCACAGCCAAAAUCGAACUCUAAACAUGCAUGCAAGCUCUCACAACAUUCUGACUCAAACAGUUCAUAAGAAAAUAUUCCAGAUCUAGCAUCUCCGUAGGAUAAGGGUUUGACCCCUCAAAUCUCCAUAAUUUUCCACAAAAUUUCAGUAUGUUAUAGUUCAAGAUGUUAGCUACAACUUUGAUGGAGAAAUAGAAGCCAAAAUCGGACUCUAAACACACAUGCAAGCUCAAACAAUUUUCUGACUCCAAACUGUUCAUGCGAAAACAUUGGUGCAAGAGUAGAAAGUGGAUUCCAAACUUGCCUCUAGACCUCACGAACAGCACGAGCGGACGGCACACGGCGGCGAACGGGCUCCUUUCUCUCCCUCUCGGCUUCCUCUCUCUCUCGCACGAUUCUCUCCCUCUCUCCCUCACUUGGCCGAAUGGCUAACCGGCCAUUCUCUCUCCUCUUCUUCCCUUUUAUAUUGCAUGCAUUCUAGGUUUGCAUGAGGGACAAGUGUAAUUGUGGAGGAAGACAAGUGUCCACCAUGCUUCACCUCCUCCAUGCCACUUGUCCUAUUACAUGCAUCAUGGGCCGGCCACCUCUUCCUUUGGGCCUUAAUGGGCCGGUCGAACUCCCUCUUGGGCCGACUAGCUUGGCCCAUCAAGCUUAGGCCAAAUGGGCUUAAGGCCCAUUCAAAAAUUAACCCCUUUUUCCCUUUUUUUUUUUUUUAUGAAUUCCUUCUAUAAAUAUUUUUAAAUUUCCAUUUUCAUCUUGGCCAAAGUCUUGGGACAUUUUGUUCAUUGAAAUUUUAUUUAUAAAGUACAUGGCCAAGCAUAAAUUAUUAAUCUAUCAAAUUUAAAUUUUCACAAUCAUAUGCACAAAUCAUCUAAUUAAAGACUAAUGGCUAAAGCAUAAGCCAUGGAAAUUUUUAUCACCUAAUUAGGAACUUUAACACACCUCAUGGCUUGGCUUUGAAUUUUGGGAUGCCACAUGAUAUGAUGAUCACCCAUGAUAUGAUAUGCAUGAUGAUAUGCAAUGGUGAUGAUGAUGAUAAUGAUAUAUCAUAUGGCAUGUGUAUUGUGAUGAUGUCAUGAUGAUGAUGACAUGUAUGAUGUAAUGAUGCCAUGAUGAUGAUGAUGAUAUAAUGAUGCCAUGUAUGGUACGAUGAUGAUAUACAUGUAUGUGUUAUAAAUUGAUAUGAUGAUGCAUGAUAGUAUGCGCAUGGCUUCAAGGUAAGAAAUGCCUGCAAUGUAUGAUGAUAUGCAUGAUGCAUUGAGUUGUUAUUGGAUUUCCCUAUCUGCUGAGUGGUUGCUCACCCCUUUUGGGGAAUAACAUUUCAGAUUAGCAUGAUAGUAUGCGCAUGGCUUCAAGGUAAGAAAUGCCUGCAAUGUAUGAUGAUAUGCAUGAUGCAUUGGUUGCUCACCUCUGAUGAUGUCAUGAUGAUGAUGACAUGUAUGAUGUAAUGAUGCCAUGAUGAUGAUGAUGAUGAUAUAAUGAUGCCAUGUAUGGUACGAUGAUGAUAUACAUGUAUGUGUUAUAAAUUGAUAUGAUGAUGCAUGAUAGUAUGCGCAUGGCUUCAAGGUAAGAAAUGCCUGCAAUGUAUGAUGAUAUGCAUGAUGCAUUGAGUUGUUAUUGGAUUUCCCUAUCUGCUGAGUGGUUGCUCACCCCUUUUGGGGAAUAACAUUUCAGAUUAGCAGUAUGCCGCUUUCUGCCGUCUCGCGGGGGGUGUUUUAUGGUCUACCGUCCGAUGUAGAGGUCGAGUGUGCGGAGAUAGACUGCCCCUCUGUUCCCGGACUGACUUUUAUUCGAGUACGUUGUCUAGUGAUGUAUGACAUAGGCCUGGCUGGGGGCCCUGUCAUUCAGGAGUUCAUUUCUGUGCAUGUUCGUCGGGAUGGAGCUAUGCGAGGGAUGUUGUCGCCGCCACCGCCUGAUGCACCGGGUUGGGUGUGAGACCUGCGCGCGAUGAGUAGGAGCUGGAUCUCUUUUUGAUGUAGAUAGUCGACACUUUCGAUGGGGGGUUUUGUGCUCGUAUGAUGUUAAGGGUCGAGGUUUCUUUUUGAGAUUUUAGGCAGGACAUGGCAGAGUCCUAGCCUUUCUUGUUUUGUACCGACCCGAAGGGAAUCCCAUCUUGCUAUAUAUGUAUGUAAGCAAAGUGUCGAAGUUGUUUAUAAAAUCCUGAUGUUUAGCUGGUGUGUAUUGGUAUCAUGGAUUUGUAGGGGGAUAGAUGGUGAUGUUUAAUUUGCUUCCGCUAUGAGUCACGCUGGGACCGCUUUUUAAAAAAAAAAAAUGCCUGUGAUUAACGACGCUUGUUCUAAGUACAAGAUAGGAAAAUGUAAUAAAGUGUAACAUCAGAGCUUGUGGCGAUCGCCGAAGGGUUCGGGAUGCUACAUUAUGUUUGUUUGCCCUAAAUAAGGAUAAAAUGCCAUAAUCUUGUAUUGUUUUUUUUUCAACUACAACGCUUUGUGAAAGUAACCAUGAACAAAAUGUUGCAAAUUUUAAAAUUACAAUGAUUUUAAAAAAUUUCAACGUUCCAUUGUAACCAAAAACUUAACAUUGUGAAUUUAAAUCCUUUCAAACUACAACGGCUUAUAAAGAUUGCAACAAUCAUUGUAACUAACAAUAUAACCUCAUAAAACUUUAUUAAAUUUGAUUUUUACAGUGCCAUGACAUCAAUAUUCUAGGGGUCUGGCACCCAUUUGCUAGUGCUUAAAGCAUCACAAAUUUCAUUUUAGUAUGUCGGACGUGCAUUUUCUAGUAUCAGACAUCUAACUUUCAACAAUUGGGAUCCUUCCAUCUUAAUCUAAUGGUUGACAUUUAUGGGUUACGGUAUAAGAUUAAAAUCUCAGAAGUCUCUGACUAAGCAUCGAUGGAUUUAUCCAGUAUAUGAUAUAUCAAUAACGCGUUUGAUAAUAUUUCCGUUACAUAAAUAAUUUUCCUCCUUGAAAUGACAAAAGUUGAAAAUGGAAGGACACGAUAUAGAAAACACUAGGGGUAAGUAUGGUUCCAGGAUAGAACCUAAAAUCUGAGAAUCAAACCGGUAGGAACUUGUAGGUUCAAGGUUCCAAGGUAUGUAGAAUAAGUUUUAUGUUAAAAAAAAUGAGAAAUUUAUUUCAACGGAUAGAUUCUGGGUUCUUAGUUAUAGGUUCCAAGUUCUUAGUUGGAAGGACCCAGAACUUGGAACCUAGAACUCGAAACAAGUUUAAAUAUUCCUUUUGAUUUAUGUCUUCAUGCAAUCUUCCGAUAUUCCAUGAUAUUCGAUAAUGAGUGUAUAAUCUGAAAGCACUAGUUUGAGUUUCCAUUUUAUGGCUAAGUUUUUUACUUUAUUAAUAUUCAUAUUUUUCAUGUAUUUAAAUAUAAGUUAUGAUUAAUGAAUUGUAAUCGUUCAAAUAAUAAUAUAAGUGUGAUCUAAGUAGACUUUGGAACCUAUGACAGAAUAUGUUCCAAAUUCUAGAGUAUGCAAGAUAGGUUUCAGGUUCCAAAAAAGUGAGGAAUUUGUUUGGACAAGUAAGUUCCAAGUUUUAGAUGAAACAUGUACGACACUUAGAACCGUUCACCCCUACUUUUAUUUAGUUGAAUUCCUUGCCAAUAAUUUUUUUUUUUUUUUAUAGUUUUGUUCAUUUUAUAUUCUCUUUGAUGAACAACAAGCUUGUUUAUUAUUAUCGCGUUCAGUUUCAUGAAAAAAAAAAUCCAUUGGACCUUGGAACUGAUCAUGGAACCGAUCUUGGAAUCUGUUACAGUGUAAAUUUCAGGUUUUAGGUCCCGAUGGGUAGGUUUUAAAUUCCAGAAAAUGAGAAAUUUGUAUUCGAAGGUAAGUUUUAGGUUUUAGGUGAACCUGUAAAGAAUUUGGAACCACCCACCUCUAGAAAACACAGUUUGGAGGUGGUCCCUAAGAGCAUUAUUGCAUAAGACCCGACAGUCGCACUGCUGACCUGACGUGACCUUCCUAAGGCAAUUGAACCUUCCACAUAAAGCGCACCCGGAAGGACCCAAAUCCCGUCCGCUGAUUUUCUUGUGAUAGGCGAGGGCUCUAUCCCCGUGCAGAUACCUUAGCGACGACUUUGGUCUUUCACUAAUCUCGUCACUAGUGCCGGCCGUCUCUUCCACUGUUCUUCCUAAUUCCCCAUUAGUCAAAACUGGUUCAUCUCCGAGACCCUGCUCUCCUCGUGCUUUUCAUCGAUUUGUCCGCGAUCCUCUGUCGUCGAGCAGCGAGAUGACGAACAUGAAACCACCACUUGUAUUAUUCAUCUUCAUCUCCGUCUCGCUCGAAGCACUCCCGGUCUCAGUCACUGGCGACAACGUUGGCGCUUACCAUCCAACCGAUGAUAUCGCCGUUGACUGUGGCUCCAACACCAGCUUUCUUGUGGGUAGACGGAAUUGGAUAGGAGACGCCGCUGACAGUUCGGACUACUCUCCAAAUGAGAAAACUCACUCCUCUACCGCAGCAGAGGCAAGCAGUUCAUCUCCCAGCAUCCCUAGCGCCGCCCCAUACCUCACGGCUCGCCUCUCCCGCUCCGAGUUCGCCUACACCUUCCACGUCAACGCAGGGCCCAAAUUCGUUCGCCUGCACUUCUUCCCUUCGGAUUACCCCAACUUCCGCCGUGUUGAUUCCUUCUUCUCAGUCGAGGCCGCUGGCUACACCCUGCUCCGCAACUUCAGCGCUUCCC